AUAUUUUUUUGCUCUUUCCAAUUCAUGUAUUUAUUAGUAAUAUUUGAUUUAUUCCUAAACCUCUAUGCUGUUUAUUCCUAAUAAAUACAUGAAUUGAUGUUGUCUUUUAUCUUUUUAAUUGUCUUAACAACCAGAUUUAAUAGAGUCGAAUAAAUUCUAAAUUGAAAUUAUUGGGUUAGGAUUGAUCGAAACCAGCUCAUUAUGUAUAUGAUUCACCAUGCCAACUAGAAAACAACUUAUUAGAAACACAAGACAGCCAAUCCGGACUGUAACAAAAUCUCCCGCUCUUCGGGGAUGCCCUCAACGCCGAGGAACAUGUACUAGGGUGUAUGUGCGACUCGUUUAGAUCAUAUACUCAAAUUAAAAAAUCAAUUCUAUUAAUAAGAAUUGUAUAUAUAUAAUUCUAUUGUGUAUAAAAUUUAUGGUUUCUCAAUUGGUGCAAACCAAAUCACCUUAAUUUGUAAUUUAAGAUGAAAAGUAUUUUCCCAUUGGUAAUAAAAUAGUUAUCCAUUAAGCGGGAAAAAUCCUAUUUGAAAGAAAGACAAAUUAUGCCAUAAAUUUAGCAAUAACGGACUAAGAGGGUCAACUACCCAGCUAAUAUUCAUACUUAAAUACCGUUACUGUAUAGCUAGAUUUCAUUGUGAAAGACCUAUUACUAGAUAUUUCAUGGGUAGAGCCCAGAAGUGUGAACUGUACAAGUUCACAAUAACAUUGAUUGAAUAAAGAUUCAAUGAAGGAAGGGGCUCCGGUGUAUAGAGAGGACCUCACCGUUUAACAAGUAAUCAUAGAAACGAUGGAACCCACCAUUUCUUUGUUUAUUUCUUAUUUACUANUUCUUAACUUAUAUAUUUUAAAAUAAUGAUAAAAUAAAAUUAAAUAUAUAUUUAGUUAAUUUAAAAUUUUAAAAUAGGUAUAAAAGUUCUAAGUGAAAAUAAUUAAGACAAAUAUAUAGAGAUGAAAAAAGUUAAUCUAUUGUAUUUAUACAUUAUUUUAAAACUAAGUGAAAAAAAAUUCAACUAAGGUUUAGUAAUUUAUUAAUCUACUGUAAUUAUACACGUUAUAUUAAAUAUAUGAUGAAACAAAUUAACAUAAAGAGUCUGUGUUGUAGUGGUAAUGUGCUUGACUCCUAAUCAAAAGGUUGUGUGUUUGAUUCUUGUUGGUUGCAAAAUUUAAUUUUCUUUUCACAGGUGCCACAAGCAUGGGGGUGCUUGACUAAAAAAAAAUGAUUCUUCUUUUCUUCACCUAUUAUCGUUUUUCUUAGAACGAAACAAUCUCAAUAGGAUUGUCGGAUUUUUCUAAAAAAAAAAACUCCUACGAAUUGAUUGCUUCGAUUUAACAAACAGUCGCUUAGAUUUAUCCAUGGUUUGUUUACUCCUAUACCGAAAAUCCCGUUUGUUAUAAAAAAAGGAUUUGUUUUAGUUAUAACAAAAGAUGACGAAUUUACAAAAGGUAACAAAGAUAAAAUACGAGCUUGUUUUAUAGCAAUCGUAAUCAAUCGUUGUUGUUUUAAGGUCAAUUUAUUAACACGUCUCGAUAAAAUUUUCCCUUGUCGUCUGAUAAAUUUGAAAAGUAAACUCAAGUUUUUAUAAUCAAUUCGAUCCCCAGAUUGGAUUAGGGGCGAACUCCUACGAAUUGAUUGCUUCGAUUUAACAAACAGUCGCUUAGAUUUAUCCAUGGUUUGCUUACUCCUAUACCGAAAAUCCCGUUUGUUAUAAAAAAAGGAUUUGUUUUAGUUAUAUUCUUUUUUUUUUUUCUAAUAUAUUUGUUAGAUAAGAAAAUCGAUGCUAUAUAAUGAUAUAUAUUUAUAAUUUUAUGUUUAAGAUAAUUUCUCUGGUAUCUAUAUAAUUCAUUUUGAUGUUAUUUAUAAUUUUUUUUUUUUUUCAAUUUACCUCCUAAGGGUGACACACAAGUAAUCCAUUUUCUCUAUUUCUUGAUCUCUGCGUGAAUCAUAUGUUUAUAUAUUUGUUAGAUAAGAAAAUCGAUGCUAUAUAAUGAUAUAUAUUUAUAAUUUCAUGUUUAAGAUAAUUUCUCUGGUAUCUAUAUAAUUCAUUUUGAUGUUAUUUAUAAUUUUUUUUUUUUUUUUUAAUUUACCUCCUAAGGGUGACACACAAGUAAUCCAUUUUCUCUAUUUCUUGAUCUCUGCGUGAAUCAUAUGUUUGCAACAAAAGGGACAGAAUUUUCUCAAUUCCAAUCGACUAGGCGUAUUGUGUCGAUUAUUUUUAGUAAUAUAUCGAGAAAUCCCUCUAGAUUCCUUAUUAACACUCUUUUUAUCACAACUAGUACAUUCUAAAAUAACAGUUAUUCGGAUAUCUUUACGCUUAGCCAUGAACCUCCUUUGGUUUUUUUAUUCACUUAACUCUUCGAUUUUAAGAUUCGAAGGGAAGAAGAAAAAAGGAAUGAAAAAAAAUAUAAGUUGAUAAUUGAAAAUCAAAUUCUGAAAUAUUUUGUUCCAAUGAAUUUUAUAUAGUACAGUAAUAAUUCACUACUACAAUGCUUUCGAAAUAGAUUUCGAAUCACAGUAUAGUAUUUCAGUUUUGAUGAAAAUAUCUUGUAUGAUAUUAUUGUCCCUACCUACCCUAACAAGACCAUUUCUGGUCUGACUAUUAAUAAUAAUUAUUAAUAGCAAUGGAAUCGAAGUAUUAAUUCAAUUCCAUUGAAACGAAACCUGGGAAAAAUUCCAAAUUUCACUGAGGCCAAAUCCACCUUUUUAAUUUCCUUUUUUUAAUUCUAGUAUAAUUAGAAAAAACGAACGAAGAGGGAUUGAAUCGCAGAUAUUUUAUUGGAUCUCUAAUCUUCGGCACCCUUUCCCGUGCCAAUAACUAGAAUCAAAAAAAGGGGAAUGUCAAUGCAUCUGGGAAUAAACGAUUGAUUUCGAUCAAGAGACCUGCUAGAGCCGUGAACCAUAAAGUACUUGCCAUAUCCUCUUUGAUGUCAAAAUUUGGAUAUUUCUAAACAACGACUAAUUAACUUUUCCUUAUAACGUUCCAUCUUUUGAUAAAACAAAAAAUGACGAAUUCUUACUACAUUCUUAUUCUCAAAGAAGAAAAUUUAGAAGAUUGAAUAAAAAAAAAUUAAUUAAUCAUUUUAGAAUGAAGGAGUUGCUAUGCUUAGUGUGUGACUCGUUGGUUUUUUUUUAUAGUGGUUAAAUUUCUACAAAAAUUCGUAGAAUUUAUUAUUAUAAAAAACCUACUCAUCGCUUCCCAUUAUCUGGAGAUAAAGAACCGCCUAAAAUCUAAAAUCAAAAUAAGGAUGUGGUCAUAUAAUUAUAGCAACUGAAAUAAAAAAAUCAGAUUAUUAGUCGUAAAGCAAUAAGAAUAUACAGAUAAAUGAAGGGGUGAAAGAAAGAUAGAAAAAGGAUAUCAAUGAUAUAGAAUUCUACUAUGUAAAGGUCUAUGGGUCAUCUCAUAAAAAGGUAGUGUAAUAAAGCAUUAAAUUUCUACAAAAAUUCGUAGAAUUAAUUAUUAUAAAAAACCUACUCAUCGCUUCCCAUUAUCUGGAGAUAAAGAACCGCCUAAAAUCUAAAAUCAAAAUAAGGAUGUGGUCAUAUAAUUAUAGUAACUGAAAUAAAAAAAUCAGAUUAUUAGUUGUAAAGCAAUAAGAAUAUACAGAUAAAUGAAGGGGUGAAAGAAAGAUAGAAAAAGGAUAUCAAUGAUAUAGAAUUCUACUAUGUAAAGGUCUAUGGGUUAUCUCAUAAAAAGGUAGUGUAAUAAAGCAUCAAUAUUCAAAAUUCAUCCAUAUAUGGUUGAAUAUAUUCCUAGAAUAAACGAAUCAAGAGCCACGAAUCAAGAAAACUGAGAAGGUUGAUUCAACAAAAAUGAAUCAAAUAAGAAAAUGUUAAAAAAUAAAAAAUUAUCUUAUUAAUAUUCAAGAGGCUCCAUUGUAGAAUUUAGACCUAACCAUAAAUAGAAAAGCGAUGGGAACGACGGAACCUGUGAAUACAAAAGACUCCAUUGUAGAAUUUAGACCUAACCAUAAAUAGAAAAGCGAUGGGAACGACGGAACCUGUGAAUACAAAAGAUUCUAUUAAAAUUAGAAAUCUUACUUACUGAUUCAUUAGAUGGGAUGGCGGAAGCAACUAAGAAUUCAUUGUUUUUGGAGGAGUUGUGGACUAACUCAACAUUACAUCUUCAAUUUAUAAUCAGAGAGUCAAUAUUCGCCCGCGAAAAUGUGGAUUUUUCGGAAUUUAGAAAUUUUUGCCAAUCCAAUUUGAUAAUAAUAAAAAAAAAAAAGACAAAUACGGAUUUGUUAGAACCUUAAUAUCCAAAAAUAUUAGCUAGUUUAGAUACAGAUAGAAAAAAUGGUCUAUAAGAAUACAUAUUUCGUUAUAUAUCAAAGCGAGAUUCAAAAAUUUCUAAUAGAUCCAUAGAUUCUAUGUCAAAAAAUCCCGCGAUUAUAUUCUAUUUCAUUUUCUAUUUUAUUAAACAUAUGUAUCUUAUUGUAUAUUAUUUUAAUUAUUAUUAUUUUUUUGAUCGGUUCAAUAUUUUUCAAUUGAUUUAUUUGCGAGGAGCCGUAUGAGGUGAAAAUCUCAUGUACGGUUCUGUAAUAGAGAUGGAAUUGAGAAAUAACCAUCAACUAUAACCCAAAAAGAACGAGAUUCCGCAAACAUCAUAGAGGAAGAAUGAAAGGAAAAGCCUCUCGCGGUAAUAAAAUUUGCUUUGGAAAAUAUGCUCUUCAGGCACUUGAGCCCGCUUGGAUCACAUCUAGACAACUAGAAGCGGGUCGACGGGCAAUGUCACGAAAUGUUCGCCGGGGUGGACAAAUAUGGGUACGCAUAUUUCCAGACAAACCUGCUACAGUAAGACCUACCGAAACGCGUAUGGGUUCGGGAAAAGGAUCGCCCGAAUAUUGGGUAGCUGUCGUUAAACCCGGCAAAAUACUUUAUGAAAUGGGAGGGGUCCCAGAAAAUAUCGCUAGAAAGGUAAUUUCAAUAGCGGCAUCCAAAAUGCCUAUACGAACUCAAUUCAUUCUUUCCAAAUAAUCAUUAGAACGAAAGAGGUCUUUAGUAUGAAAAAAGGCAAUUCUCCGUUUCUUUUUUUUUUUUGAACACAAAUCCAAAAUGCCUAUACGAACUCAAUUCAUUCUUUCCAAAUAAUCAUUAGAACGAAAGAGGUCUUUAGUAUGAAAAAAGGCAAUUCUCCGUUUCUUUUUUUUUUUUUGAACACAUAAUAUUUUUUUUUACUUCAACUUUUUGACUCAAAGAUAAGAAAAAAGGAUAUGAUUCAACCUCAAACCUAUUUAAAUGUAGCCGAUAAUAGUGGAGCGCGCGAAUUGAUGUGUAUUCGAAUCAUAGGAGCUAGUAAUUGACGGUAUGCUUAUAUUGGUGACAUUGUUGUUGCUGUAAUCAAAAAAGCAGUGCCAAAUUCAUCUUUAGAAAGAUCUCAAGUCAUCAGAGCUGUAAUUGUACGUACUUGUAAAGAACUAAAACGUCGUAACGGUAUAAUAAUAAAGUAUGAUGAUAAUGCAGCGGUUCUCAUUGAUAAAGAAGGAAAUCCAAAAGGAACUCGAAUUUUUUCCGCAAUAGCCCGAGAAUUGAGACAGUUAAAUUUCACGAAAAUUAGUUUCAUUAGCACCCGAGGUAUUAUAAUCAGAGAUCAUGAUAUAGAUAUAUUAUCAUAACUUGAAUGAAUAGGAAGGAAAUAGAUUAGAAUAGGAAUGAAAUAUAUAUUCUAUUUCAAUAUAUUCAAAAUAAAAAUUCGAAUUCUAUUUGUAUAAAAAAAAAAAUAGAAUUCGAAUUCAAUAUAAGAUUAUUUAUAUAGUUUCGAAUAGGUCAUUCGUUCAUUUUCUUUCUAUCUUUUUUUUUAGUUUUAGAAUAUUCUAUAUUCUAUAUUGAGAUUGUCGUAAUGACAAUCAGAUUUUCUAUACAUAUAGAAAGUAUUAUUCUAUUCUCAUAUUCAAUAUUAGAUAUUUUAUUGAAUCAAAAAAUAAAAAAUCAAAAAACGGGAGCACGUUGAUUAUAUGGAAAGGAAGGAGUAAAAAUCGAUUGUGGGUAAAGAUACUAUCGCUGAUAUACUAACCUUGAUACGCAAUGCUGACAUGAAUAGAAAAAGAACUGUUCAAAUACCACUUACUAAUAUCACCGAAAACAUUGUAAAAAUUCUUUUACGAGAGGGUCUUGUUGAAAACGUCAGAAAACAUCGAGAAAGCAACAAAUACUUUUUAGUUUUAACUCUACGGUAUAGAAGAAAUAGGAAAGGAUCAUAUAAAAGUUUUUUAAAUUUAAAAAGGAUUAGUACACCUGGUCUACGAAUCUAUUCUAACUAUCCCAAAAUUCCGAAAGUUUUAGGAGGGAUGGGGAUUGUAAUUCUUUCUACUUCUANUUGCAUAACCAACCCCCUUACCCCGAUCUCUGACAUUUUUAUUAGUUUUUGAUUCAAUAAAACUUCUCGGUUUUUGUUCACUUUCUAACCUUUCCUUUGGAUAAAUAGAAGUGCGGUGGCGACUCGACUUGUAUGGUUUACUUUUGAUUUAGUCAAUAAAUCUAAAGGUAACGAAUACCCCGCUACAGGUAGUAGAUAACAUACUCUUUCUUCCCUGAUUCAUCUUGCUGAACAAGGACACAAUCAAGGGUCUCCCUUCCGCAGGCGAAGACAGAAUCAGAGGCUCGGAUGGAUACUCUUUGAUACUGUCAAAAGCUUUCUUGCAAUCCUCGGUCCAAUCAUGGCGUUGAUCUUUCCGGAGGAGCUUGAAUAUUGGCGCACAUGUGCCAGUCAUGUGGGAUAUAAAUCUAGAAAUAUAAUUCAAGCGGCCAAGAAAACCUCAGACUUGCUUCUCAGUUUUGGGCGCAGGCAUCUCUUGUAUUGCUUUGACCUUGGCAAGAUCAACUUCAAUACCUUUCUAAUGUGGGAUAUAAAUCUAGAAAUAUAAUUCAAGCGGCCAAGAAAACCUCAGACUUGCUUCUCAGUUUUGGGCGCAGGCAUCUCUUGUAUUGCUUUGACCUUGGCAAGAUCAACUUCAAUACCUUUCUUGCUGACAAUAAAGCCUAAUAACUUGCCGGAACGGACUCCAAAUGUACACUUGUUAGGAUUCAGACGAAGCUUAUACUUUCUCAAACGCUGAAAAAGCUUUAACAAGUGCUCAACAUGUUCCACUUCCAUUCUCGACUUUGCAAUCAUAUCGUCAACAUACACCUCAAUAUCCUUGUGCAUCAUAUCAUGAAACAAGGUAGUCAUAGCGCAUUGAUACGUGGCUCCGACGUUCUUCAAACCGAAGGGCAUCACUCGAUAACAGAAUGUUCCCCAAGGAUUAUACAUAAUGUCAUUAUUCCACCAAAAAGUUUUCUAUUAGUUCAAAAUGAUGAAUAUGUAAAAUCAGAACAAGUGAUUGUGGAGAUCCGCGCGGGAACAUUUACUUUUAAUUUGAAAGAGAGGGUUCGAAAACAUAUUUAUUCUGACUCAGAAGGGGAAAUGCAUUGGAGUACCGAUGUGUACCAUGCAUCAAAAUUUAUGUAUAGUAAUGUACAUAUCUUACCAAAAACAAGUCAUUUAUGGAUAUUGUCAGGAAAAUGUUUAACUUCUUAUAUUAAUAGGUUCUGUUAGGUUUGAGAACCGCUAAGCCCACAUUACAGGCAAUAGUCCCCAAAAUCACUACUGGAAAAUAUAUAAAAGAUCGAUGGAACCUGCUGAAUAUUCCUACAUGAAUAUUCUACCAUAUUAGGUAUUCAAUAUUCCUACAUGAAAUUUUAAUGAAUUUGAAAGAAAUUGUAUUGAGAAGUAAUCUGUAUGGAACUUGGGAGGCGUCUAUUUGUUUCAAAGGUCUUGGAUAUGUAACUGCUCAAGACAUCAUUUUACCACCUUCGGUGGAAGUCAUUGAUAAUACACAACAUAUAGAUAACCUAACAGAACCUAUUAAUUUGUGUAUUGAAUUACAAAUUGAGAGAAAGCGGGGAUAUCGUAUAAAAACACUAAACAACAUUCAAGAUGGAAGUUAUACUAUAGAUGUUGUAUUCAUGCCUGUUAGAAAUGCAAAUCAGAGUAUCCAUUCUUAUGUGAAUAGAAAUCAAAAACAAGAGAUACUAUUUAUGGAAAUAUGGACAAAUGGAAGUUUAAGUCCUAUGGAAGCACUUUAUGAAGCCUCCCGGAAUUUUAUUGAUUUAUUUAUUCCUUUUUUACAUGCAGAAGAAGAAAACUUAAAUUUUGAAAACAAUCAACACAAAAUGACUUUGCCCCUUUUUACUUUUCAUGAUCAUGAUAGUUUCGUUAAGGAUAAACUAAGGAAAAAUCAAAAAGAAAUUACAUUGAAAUCCAUUUUUAUUGACCAAUUAGAAUUGCCUCCCCGGAUCUAUAAUUGUCUUAAAAAGUCCAAUAUACAUACAGUAUUGGAACUUUUGAAUAAGAGUNGGAUCUAUAAUUGUCUUAAAAAGUCCAAUAUACAUACAGUAUUGGAACUUUUGAAUAAGAGUCAAGAAGACCUUAUGAAAAUUGAACAUUUUCGAGUAGAAGAUUUAAAAUUUAUAUUAAACAUUUUGCAAAUCGAAAAUCAUUUUGUAUAAAUUUUAAAUACAUUGGAUUUUUUUGAAUCUUUAGCACAAAUAAAUCUAUUCAGAAUAGGUCUCAAAUGAAAUAGAUGUAUCUAGGGAUUAGUCAUUUCAAAGUGGAUUUUCCCUAGAUACACAAUACACCUGUCAUGAUAUUUUAUUUCACAAUAGAAUCAAUUUAAAAAAGACCUAACGUUAGGGAUUUUUCAAUAGGUAAUGUUGCUCCAAUACCCAACCAAAGAGCCACGGCGGUACCAAUCAAAAAGACAGUUGUUGCUACUGGACGCCGAAAUGGGUUUUGGAACUUAUUAACAUUCUCCAAAAAGGGUACUGUUAAUAAUCCCGCGGGUACUGAAACCAUUAAAAGAACGCCCAAAUUGAAUCUUUAGCACAAAUAAAUCUAUUCAGAAUAGGUCUCAAAUGAAAUAGAUGUAUCUAGGGAUUAGUCAUUUCAAAGUGAAUUUUCCCUAGAUACACAAUACACCUGUCAUGAUAUUUUAUUUCGCAAUAGAAUCAAUUUAAAAAAGACCUAACGUUAGGGAUUUUUCAAUAGGUAAUGUUGCUCCAAUACCCAACCAAAGAGCCACGACGGUACCAAUCAAAAAGACAGUUGUUGCUACUGGACGCCGAAAUUGGUUUUGGAACUUAUUAACAUUCUCCAAAAAGGGUACUGUUAAUAAUCCCGCGGGUACUGAAACCAUUAAAAGAACGCCCAAUAAUUUAUUGGGUACGGUACGAAGUAUUUGAAAUACGGGAAAAAAAAUACCAUUCGGGUAAUAUUUCCAAAGGAGUUGCAAACGGAUCCGCGGGUUCCCCAAUCAUUGAUGGUUCGAGAACCGCUAAGCCCACGUUACAGGCAAUAGUCCCCAGAAUCACUACUGGAAAUUCCCCAAUCAUUGAUGGUUCGAGAACCGCUAAGCCCACGUUACAGGCAAUAGUCCCCAGAAUCACUACUGGAAAAAUAUAUAAAAGAUCGUUAGGCCAUGCGGGUUCGCCAUAAUAAUUAUGACCCAUACCUUUGGCCAAUUUAGCUCUUAAUACAGGAUCAGUCAAGUCAGGUUUUUUUGUUAUUGGGAUAGGUGAAUUCUUAUAGAUGCAUCCUCCGAAAGAACCGGACAUGAUAAUUUUUCAUCAUCCGGCUCGGGCACGAAUCAAACGAACUGAAUGCAGACAUAGAAAUUCUUUCUAUGUUAGUCACUCAUAUAUCAUGAUUCUAUGUAAUAAUAUGUAAUAAAAUGGAUUGAAUUCUUUUUUUUUUUGAAAUUACAACUACCCAUUGCAAAUGCAAAAAAUUCAGUUCGUAUUUUUAAGUAAAUGCUUUUCACCCAAGUAAGUUUUCAAAAAAAAAAGUUCUUUCUGGGUGAUCUCAAACCUUUCGCCUGUUAUACCUCAAAAAAAGAAGAAAAAUAUAUAAAAGAUCGUUAGGCCAUGCGGGUUCGCCAUAAUAAUUAUGACCCAUCCCUUUGGCCAAUUUAGCUCUUAAUACAGGAUCAGUCAAGUCAGGUUUUUUUGUUAUUGGGAUAGGUGAACUCUUAUAGAUGCAUCCUCCGAAAGAACCGGACAUGAUAAUUUUUCAUCAUCCGGCUCGAGCACGAAUCAAACGAACUGAAUGCAGACAUAGAAAUUCUUUCUAUGUUAGUCACUCAUAUAUCAUGAUUCUGUGUAAUAAUAUGUAAUAAAAUGGAUUGAAUUCUUUUUUUUUUUGAAAUUACAACUAUCCAUUGCAAAUGCAAAAAAUUCAGUUCGUAUUUUUAAGUAAAUGCUUUUCACCCAAGUAAGUUUUCAAAAAAGAAAGUUCUUUCUGGGUGAUCUCAAACCUUUCGCCUGUUAUACCUCAAAAAAAGAAUUUCGGAAUUUUUGACAUAGAAAGGAUUUACUUGUUACUAAUAUAAUACAACCCCCCUUUUUCUUUAGAUCUAAAGUUUUCAAAAAAAAAAGUUCUUUCUGGGUGAUCUCAAACCUUUCGCCUGUUAUACCUCAAAAAAAGAAUUUCGGAAUUUUUGACAUAGAAAGGAUUUACUUGUUACUAAUAUAAUACAACCCCCCCUUUUCUUUAGAUCUACUUGUUUAACUCCGAUAGUAUCAUAAAUUGAGUCAAUGCAUAGGAAAUGAAUGCAUUUCCAUACUAUUAAGUUUAAUGAAAUACAUAUGACAUAAUCUAGAUUAUAUCAUCUUCCUUAUUUUACUGGAUAUUACGGAGCCUGUUCAUGCAGGAUAUGAUCGAGUCUGAUCAUAGAAAAGAUUAUCUUCAAGCGAACCGGACUAUCCUCUGUAGAGGACUGGCGCGGUGGUUGGAACAAAGACGCAUUUAAUUGUGAAUUCAAAUGUGGCAGAUAAGAUUAAGUCAUAUAUCUGCAUGGCCCAAUCAAUAGUUCAAGUCACACACUCCCAUAAUCCAUUCUUUUUUCCGAGAGUUCCCUUCAACUAUUCGUGUAUGUCAAAUAAAGAAUCCAAUUGNUCGCGGAUCCUGCGGGUUCCCCAUCAUUAUGGGUUCGAGAACGCUAAGCCUAACGUCUACGGCCAAUAGUACCCCCAGAAUAACUACUGGAAAAACUAUAUAAAAAGUAUCGUAUAGGCCAUGCGGGCGUUCGCCAUAAUAUUAUGGCCCCAUUCCCUUGUGCCAUUAUUGCUCUUAUACAGGGACAUUCAAGUCAGGCGUUUUUUGUUAUUGCGGACAUGAGGGUGAAUUCUUAGCUAGAUCCACUCCCCUCCCGACAAGAACCGACAUCCGAUCAUCUUCUCUCUCAUACAUCGGCUCCGAGCCACACACACUCAAAGCGACACUGUCAAUCUCGCCCAACACACUACUAACUCUACCUUAUAUCCAUGUGGAGGCACUAUCAACGCUCUAUCACUGUAUCUACUCCUAACAUACACAACGUGGCGGUUUGAAUUUCCUUUUUCUUUCGCGAACAUUCACACCACCUAACUCACUUGGCAAAACCUCUCCAGCUUCCUCCUCCUAUCUUUAACGAUCAAUGCUCUCUUCCCACCCAACGUCACGUUUUAAGCAAUCCAAACAUCGAACAAGCUUACCUUGCAUGCGCGGUGGAUUAUCCCAACGACCAUCACGGUUGUCACUACUAACCUCGAACAGGCAAUUUAGGAACUUCUCAUUGACCACUCGAAAGGACUUUACCUUGUUCACUGCAAUUUAAUCGAAAACCCUUCUUCUCUUCUAGAUUCUUACCUGUCGUUUAACUCCGCACUAUAUCAGCCAAUCUGACCACGGCUCCAAGGGCAUACGGAACAUCGAACCUGCUUUCACUCACUAUUCACCUUUGAGCAUGUACAACUACACCUCACCGCACACUACUCCUAGAUUGCUCCUCAUUUAUUAUCUCUUUACUUGAUCAUUACCGAGCCUCGUUCAAUGCCAGUGUUCAUGCAGGAUAUGAUCGAGUCUGAUCAUAGAAAAGAUUAUCUUCAAGCGAACCGGACUAUCCUCUGUAGAGGACUGGCGCGGUGGUUGGAACAAAGACACAUUUAAUUGUGAAUUCAAAUGUGGUAGAUAAGAUUAAGUCAUAUAUCUGCAUGGCCCAAUCAAUAGUUCAAGUCACACACUCCCAUAAUCCAUUCUUUUUUCCGAGAGUUCCCUUCAACUAUUCGUGUAUGUCAAAUAAAGAAUCCAAUUGAUUCUGUUAAGUUGAAGGGAAAUAUCCAAAUACAUGUCUUAUUUAAAAAAAUGCAUAUUUGUAACAAUGAAAUACUAUGACUCCUCCCCAAAAUGAUUGAUUACAAAUAUCUAUGAUUCAUAUUCUCUAUAAAGGACCAGAAACUCCUUGCUUACGUAUCAUUGGAAAGUGUAUUAACAUGAAUACGGCAGUAAGAAGAGGUAAUACAAAAGUAUGUAAACUAUAAAAACGAGUCAAGGUAGAUCGUCCCACACUAGCAUUGUCGCGCAAUAACUCUACCACCGAGGAUCCUAUUACAGGAAUAGCGUCGGGUACACCUGUUACAAUUUUGACUACCAAAUAACCAAUUUGGUCCCAAGGUAAAGAAUAACCAGUUACACCGAAGGAUGCAAUCAAUACACCCAAAACUACACCUGUAACCCAAGUCAAUUCACGAGGUUUUUUAAAACCACCAGUGAGAUACACGCGAAAUGAGUGCAAGAUCAUCAUUAGACAUAUAACUUUGCGCAUCGAUGACGAUCGGUUAACCAACCAAAGUGCGUUCAUUAUAUAUUGAACAGAAGCAAAAGCCUCCGUAACGGUUGGACGAUAAUAAAAAGUCAUAGCAAAACCCGUCGCUACUUGCACUAAAAAACAAGUAAGUGUAAUUCCUCCUAAACAAUAAAAUAUAUUAACAUGAUGAGGGACAUAUUUACUAGUUAUAUCAUCGGCAAUGGCCUGAAUCUCAAGACGUUCUUCGAACCAAUCAUAGACUUUACUGAAAUAGGUAAACCAGGGGUCCCCCCUUAGAACCCUUUUGGCUAUACAAGGUUUUUCUCGAGCCUAUUCAUACAGUAUCUAAUCAUGUAGAUGGUUAGUGUUGGUAUCCACGCUAAGUCAAUUUAUGAUUUAUGAUACUGGUGUAAAUUCAGGUCAACUAGCAUUUUUUCCAUUUUCUACGUCCUUAAACAUAAAGAAAUGGGAGUUUUCCAAUCAUUCACUCAAAUCCAUUGUCGUCGAACCGAAUACCACUGGGAGGUACUUAUGGCAGAACGGGCCAAUCUAGUCUUUCACAAUAACGUGAUAGGUGGAACUUCCAUUAAAGGACUUAUUAGGAGAUUAAUAGAUCGUUUCGGAAUGGCAUAUACAUCACACAUCCUGGAUCAAGUAAAGACUCUAGGAUUCCAUCAAGCUACUGCUACAUCUAUUUCAUUAGGAAUUGAUGAUCUUUUAAGUUAGCCUCAGUCAUUAUAUAUUGAACAGAAGCAAAAGCCUCCGUAACGGUUGGACGAUAAUAAAAAGUCAUAGCAAAACCCGUCGCUACUUGCACUAAAAAACAAGUAAGUGUAAUUCCUCCUAAUCAAUAAAAUAUAUUGACAUGAGGAGGGACAUAUUUACUAGUUAUAUCAUCGGCAAUGGCCUGAAUCUCAAGACGUUCUUCGAACCAAUCAUAGACUUUAUUGAGAUAGGUAAACCAGGGGACCCCCCUCAGAACCGUAUAUGAAAAUUUCAUCUCGUACGGCUCAAACAAAAAGACUCAAAUACUCGUUAUUUGGAAAAGAGAUAUGUGUAAUAGAAAGUUUUACACUUCUUAACUUAAUCCUAUGAUUCCAGUCUUUUUGAAGAUAAAAAAAAAAUAGAAAUCCAAAAAAUAUUCUUAGUGUUUAUAAUGCCAAAAUUUCAAGUCGGCUCACUCGUCUUUUCUCUUGAUCCUUACCGGCCUCGUGAAUCUUCUAUUAUUUACUUCAUGUGUAAUAGAAAGUUUUACACUUCUUAACUUAAUCCUAUGAUUCCAGUCUUUUUUGAAGAUAAAAAAAAAAUAGAAAUCCAAAAAAUAUUCUUAGUGUUUAUAAUGCCAAAAUUUCAAGUCGGCUCCCUCGUCUUUUCUCUUGAUCCUUACCGGCCUCGUGAAUCUUCUAUUAUUUACUUCAUUUUUUUUGUAUUGUGUCUGUAAUAAGAUUUUACUGCUGUUUUUUUUUUUAUUAUUAUUAUUGAUAAGAAUUUUGUUGUUAAGACCCUAUAAGAAUCAAUUAAAAACCUGAGAUUCAUACCAGAACCACGAUGAUUUCCAAAAAAAACCUUUAAUCGAAGUCCAAGAAUUCCCUGAGUAAGAACUGCUGGAUCAUCACUUAUUCAUUUUCAAGAAAUAGAUAUAAUGAAAAAAAAAAAAUACAAAGAAAUGGAUAAGCGGCGGUAGUUUUAAAGAAUAAAAUUCCAUUUCGUUUUCUAAAUGAAUUCUUCUAAGUCUUUCAUUUUUUUCGUCCGGCUGCGAGGUCUAAAUAUAAAUAUUAAGUAUGAAUCAUAGUUCUAACACUUUAGAAUCUAUUUAUUUUCUAUAUUCCGUGCUCCAGAUACUAGAAUAAAUAUCUGACGGGGUAAAGUCAUCUAUCAAGAUAAGAUGACGUAUCCAUUUUAUGUUNCUUGCUGAUCAUCACUAUCCAACAACAAUAGAAACAAAAAAAAACAAAAAAUGAAAGCCGAGUAAAGAAGAAUCCAUUUCGUUUCUAAAGAACUCAAGUCUCUCAUUUCUCGGUUUCGAAAGUCAAAAUAUAAAAAAGAACAAUAUCACACAGAUCUAAUCUCAUAUCCGUCGAACAAAAAAUAUCACAGGUAAUCAUUAUCAAAUAAACACAUUAUCUACACAAUAGACCAUAUAAAGUCACACCACUCAUAAGCCCGGAAAUACAGAAACAAAGAUAGUUCCCGGCGAACUCGAACUACCAAAUAAAUCAAAAUGGAAUGGGCUAAAAAGGAACGAUCUAAAUGGUAAACUUUACUUUUCUAUUGAAAAGCUAGUUAGUUGGUUCUUGUGAAUCGAAUUCUCUAAUUCAUAGAAAUUAUGUCCAGUAAAAUGGACGAAUUAUAAAUAUCUAAAAUAAUAGAGAGAAAUACCGCAAAUAGGGCCAUUGUAAUCCCCAUCGAAGGGGUAGUUCCCCACCCCGGAGCUAAUUUACCAUAUUCCGAAUUCAAUGGUUUCAAUAAAUCUCCUACAACAGUUCGUCUUGGACCAGAUCUAGAACUACCCUCAACGGUUUGUGUAGCCAUAAAUCCUAUUUUUUUGAUUGAGAUCUGUUGACUUUGUAUACCAUUACGCUGUAGAUAAAGGAUCUUACCCUAUAGAUCCAUUGUAGUCUUGAUAUUAUACAAUCAUGGAAACAGCAACCCUAAUUGCCAUCUCUAUAUCCGGUUUAAUUGUAAGUUUUACUGGGUAUGCCUUAAUUAGUUGGUUCUUGUGAAUCGAAUUCUCUAAUUCAUAGAAAUUUGGUCCAGUAAAAGGGACGAAUUAUAAAUCUCUAAAAUAAUAGAGAGAAAUACCGCAAAUAGGGCCAUUGCAAUCCCCAUCAAGCUAUAAAUAAAAGAUGUUAGUGACAUACUUUUGGGCUUUUGGUUAGUAAAUGAAAUGGGAAAAGCAAUGAUAUACAAUUCAAGCAUGCUUGGUGAUCUCAAAUCACUCACAAAGAGUCCCACCCAAAGGCAAGGGAACCAAGAUGCUCAAUGAUCCUUGAGGCUAUGCAAAUGAAGUGUUAUGAUGCCAUGAGGGAUCUUAGGGACAAAAUUGGGGUCUUACAGAUGCCCCUAUUUAAGGUCAUGCUAUCCGGAGAAGUGAAGGUUAAAAUCUUCGUCUCGACGAGGUAGAAUGGGCUUAAAUAAUAACAAAGAGACGAAUUUUGGUCCCUAAGAGACCUCAUGAUGCAAAUGUAUGUAUGCACAAUAGUAACACUCUGUGGGGAUAUGUGUCCACAAAGGAGGAAAGAAAAUCAGGAGACACCAACAAUCCACAUGAGUGAUUCAUCCCAUGGGUCAAAAACCUGGGGACUCUUAUGGGGAUAAGAAAGAAAUGCGUGAGCAAGGCACGACUCAAAGUUUGGGGAGCAGAAUUCCAGAAGGGAAUAAACCAAUGGAAAGACUCGAGCCAACUCAAAGAUCGCUUGGGAUGUCUAAAAAGACUCUCCUAGGGAAGCAGCGAGAUGAGGUGUUACCGGCUACUGGGUAACAAGCACAAUGAGACAUGUGAUCUGAACACCGACAUAAGGGUCAGAGAUACAACAUGCUCGGGAAGAAAUGAAUAUCUAAAACCGGUAUAAGGGUGAGAGAUAUCAAAACUCCGAAACAUCUGAGGAAGACCUAGGAAGAAAUGAAUAUCUAAAACCGGUAUAAGGGUGAGAGAUAUCAAAACUCCGAAACAUCUGAGGAAGACCUAAAAGGUAUAUUUCCACUCAGGGAAAUCUGACUCCACAGGGGACAAAAGUCAUAACAGGGAGCAGAAAGGGAGGAACACCAGAGAUGCCGGUUACUGGGCAUAUAAUAGGUGACCAACCAAGGCGUGAAUUGGGGAAUAUUCCCAAGACACUCAUCAUCCGAAAGACGACUAAAAGCAAACUCGAUUAUAGGAUGGAUACUCGAUUCCGCAAAGGGGAAACGAAUCUUACUCAACUGGGGAAGAACAAAAGGCUUCGACCGAAGAGUGCAUGAGAUAUACUAUCUAUUACCGUCAGAACAUAGAUAAUAUACUCGCAUGGAAGAUUAUCCAUAACCGGUUACUAGGUGGAUAAAGGAUAAAUCGACCGAAAAGAGAAGGCAUCGGGAUACCGAAACUAGGUAUAUAAUGAUGACCAAUCCAGGGGAGAAACAAUCAUCAUCAACAAUAAAGGGCAGACGAGAGAUGACUCGCUAAGGAUAAAUUGUGGAAAUAGGGCAAUUAUCCAGGUAAAAGAGAGGAUAUCAACACCGAAUAUUGGAUGAAGAUAACCGUCAAUGAGGGGAUUACAUCUACCGGAUACUGGGUAGAAGACCCCGGAAAAGUAACCGUCAUCGAUAACGAUGAACACCAGGUUAACUCUGCAAAGGGGAGAAAAUAGGGUUUACAACUACCGGUAUAAGGGUUGUAAACCACAGACUCCACCGGGGAUAAUAUGAAUGAUUCCUAAUUAUUGAGUAAUUAUUCAUUUAUACCGCGGGGAAUCAAAGAAAACAGCUCCGAGGGGCCAAUUUAGGGUCAAACCAAAGAGGCAAACUGAAUCAAAACUCGUCCUAGUGAGGAUAUAACUCAAUAGGGAAGUCCAUCCCAAUAUAUGUAUUGAGGGAAAAAGAAACAACCAUCAUCCACGAGGACACAACUUGGUGGGGAACAUGGAAGAAAGGAUAGACGCUUUCUGCCUAUGGAGCUGACUCUAUAUGGGGAGAUCAGACACAUACAUCUGCUUGGGGAAAUCCAUAUCACCAAUUAGUAGGAGACAAUAAACAAACGAUAUAUGGCAAAGAAUGCAACAUGAAUAUCUAAAUGUUAUGAUUAUGCAUGUAUAUGCGUGGUUUAUGUAUGAUGAAUGCUGACAAACAGAUAUAUCUAACACACAUAGGAUCCAGGAAUCAACCACCUGAUUCUAUAUCUCAAGAGAGAAAGCCAAAAUCACCGGAGAGCGACCAAUCUGCCGGGGAUCAGAGAUAACAAUAUCUCUGCAGGGGAUGAAUCAUCAGUCUCGGUUGGGAAAAGAAUUUAAUGCACGAGUAGGAUCUGCCACCCAAGCCACUCUAUUGGACAAUAUCUCUGCAGGGGAUGAAUCAUCAGUCUCGGUUGGGAAAAGAAUUUAAUGCACGAGUAGGAUCUGCCACCCAAGCCACUCUAUUGGGAAGUCUAUCCGAGGGAUAAAGGGAUUCAGGGAACCAACCACCAAAAAUCGAAUUUUCCAGAAAGAGCACAGCUGCUGAGGAGGAAGGAUCACUGCUCUGCCGAAGGGAAGGGAAGUGAACAACCUUACCAAGCACUCCACUCGGUGGGAUAAACCACAACAAUAUCUGGGAGGAAGAGGAUACAGUUAUGCCAGGAAUAUGAAUAAAGGUCUUACCCUGUUGGAGGUCAUACUACCAUUGGGAGAGCAUUGGGAAUCUCUUAAGUAUCCUUUCGUCUUUGUGAAUGUUCACUUUGUUUAAAAAUGAUUUAUGGAAAAUUUUAUUGUUUAAAACAAUGAUAUUUCUCAAUUAAAACAUGCAAAAUAUUUGUUGAAUAGAAACAAAUAAGAGUGCAAAUAAAUGAAUAAAGGCUCAAAUUUAUUGGAUGGAAUGGCAGUCUGCAAAUGGCAAGACUCCAUAGAUCUUUACAAAUUUGAAAUUGGUGAUAUAUAUUGGAAAAGGGCUACAUUGAUGUAUUACUGGUAAAGAGGUGGUUAAGACCUAAGCUACAUAACGAAGCUUUGGUCGAUGACGAAUGAACAAGAAUCUCUGACAGAUGAUAAUUGUAGAACAAAGUCUUGUCAGGAUGCAAUUACUUGCCAAAUCCCUAAUUUUUGCCUAGAUUGCCCCAGGAUGAGGUACUUGACCUAGCGGGAUAUAAAUAUUCAUCAUUUUGUUUCAUGUCUCUAACUUUUGCCUGGACCGCCCUUUCGGGUUUUCAAUCCACCGAGAUGCUCAUUUUUGCCUAAGCCGCCCUUUCGGGUUUUAAACUUAGCGAGCUAUUCUGUUUUUAUUUCUAGGCGAAGUAUUUCUUGACUGCAUCUAAAUUCACAGGACGAGUGAAAUCCUCCCCAUCCAUAGUUGUAAGUAUCAACGCACUGCCUGAAAAGGCCCUCUUAACAACAUAUGGACCUUCAUAGUUUGGAGUCCACUUGCCCCUGGAAUCGGGCGCGAAAGACAAGACUUUCUUGAGCACAAGGUCACCUUCUCGGAACACACGAGGCUUGACCUUCUUAUCAAAAGCUUUCUUCAUUCUCUGCUGAUACAACUGACCAUGGCACAUGGCAGUCAAUCUCUUCUCUUCUAUCAAAUUCAGUUGGUCAUAAAGACUCUGAACCCAUUCAGCAUCAGUCAACUUAGCCUCCAUCAAGACUCUCAUUGACGGGAUCUCCACCUCUACUGGGAGUACGGCCUCCAUGCCAUAGACAAGAGAGAAAGGGGUUGCCCCUGUUGAAGUGCGGACAGAUGUACGAUAUCCGUGAAAAGCAAAUGGCAGCAUCUCAAGUCAAUCUUUAUACGUGACAACCAUCUUCUGGAUAAUCUUCUCGAUAUUCUUGUUAGCAGCUUCAACAGCCCCAUUCAUCUUGGGUCUGUAAGGAGAAGAAUUAUGAUGUGCUAUCUUGAACUCACUACACAGCUCUUUCAUUAUCUUGUUGUUCAAGUUAGAUCCAUUAUCAGUAAUGAUCUUAUCUGGCACACCAUACCGGCAUAUGAGUUGAUUCUUGAUAAACUUCACGACCACCUGUCUGGUCACAUUUGCAUAUGACGCCGCUUCAACCCACUUGGUGAAGUAAUCAAUUGCUACGAGAAUGAAUCUGUGUCCGUUAGAUGCCUUCGGCUCUAUCAUGCCAAUCAUGUCAAUUCCCCACAUGGAGAAGGGCCAUGGUGAUGAAAUCACAUUCAGAAGUGUCGGAGGAAUAUGAAUCUUAUCCGCGUAAAUCUGACACUUAUGGCAUUUCUUCAAGCUCUAUCAUGCCAAUCAUGUCAAUUCCCCACAUGGAGAAGGGCCAUGGUGAUGAAAUCACAUUCAGAAGUGUCGGAGGAAUAUGAAUCUUAUCCGCGUAAAUCUGACACUUAUGGCAUUUCUUCACAUACUUGCAGCAGUCAGACUCCAUUGUCAGCCAAUAGUAGCCUGCUCUUAACAUCUUUCUAUCCAUAGCAUGCCCAUUGGAAUGAGUACCAAAUGAACAUUCAUGGACUUCAGUCAUCAACAGGUCCGCUUCGUGUCUAUCCACGCAUCUGAGCAGAACCAUGUCAAAGUUUCUCUUGUAAAGCACUUCGCCAUUGAGGUAGAAACUGCCUGACAAUCUCCUCAAAGUAUUCCUAUCUUUCACAGAUGCCCCAGGUGGGUAAACCCGGUUCUGAAGGAAACACUUGAUGUCUUAAUACCAUGGCUUAUCGUCUUUUACUUCUUCAACCGCAAAUACAUGAGUUGGUCUAUCGAAACGUGUUACAGUGAUAUUGGGGACUUCAUUCCAAUAUUUAACCACAAUCACUGAAGCAAGUGUAGCAAGAGCAUCUGCCAUCCGGUUCUCAUCUCGAGGAAUAUGAUGGAAGUCAACUUCAGUAAAGAAUGUUGAAAUCCUCCUCGCAUAAUCUCUAUAUGGAACGAGACGAGGCUGAUUCGUUUCCCAUUCACCCUUAAUCUGAUUAACAACGGCCGAAUCACCAUAUACAUCAAGAUGUUUGAUCCUUAGAUCAAUAUAUUCCUCCAAUCCCAUAAUGCAGGCCUCAUACUCAGCCAUAUUAUUCGUGCAUUUGAAAGUUAGCCUCGCUGUAAAAGGAAUGUGUGUGCCUUGAGGAGUAAUGAUUACUGCCCCAAUACCAUUUCCAUACGGAUUUACAGCGCCAUCAAACACCAUACUCCAUCGGGAACCAGGCUCUGGCCCUUCAUCGAGUGUAGGCUCAUUACAAUCUUUCAUCUUUAAAUAUAGAAUUUCCUCAUCCGAGAAGUCAUAUUGAACUGACUGAUAAUCCUCAAUCGGCUGGUGUGCCAAGUGAUCAGCCAAGAUACUACCUUUGAUUGCUUUCUGAGCUCGGUACUCAAUAUUGUACUCAGAUAACAACAUCUACCAACGGGCAAUCCUCCCAGUUAAAGCAGGCUUCUCAAAUAUAUACUUGAUUGGAUCCAUUCUGGAUAUUAACCAAGUCGUAUGAUUUAUCACAUACUGGCAUAAGCACUUAGCAGCCCAAGCUAAGGCACAACAUGUCUUCUCAAGCAUUGAAUAUCGAGACUCACAAUCAGUGAACUUCUUACUCAGGUAGUAAAUAGCAUACUCUUUCCUCCCUGAUUCAUCUUGCUGACCAAGGACACAACCCAUUGAAUCUUCAAGAAUAAUCAGAUCCAUAAUCAAAGGUCUCCCUUCCACAGGCGGAGACAGAAUCAGAGGCUCAGACAGAUACUCUUUAAUACUGCCGAAAGCUUUCUGGCAAUCCUCGGUCCAAUCAUGGGACUGAUCUUUCCGGAGGAGCCUGAAUAUCGGCGCACAUGUGGCAGUCAUGUGGGAUAUGACCCUGGAAAUGUAAUUCAAGCGACCAAGAAAACCUCGGACUUGCUUCUCAGUUUUGGGCGCAGGCAUCUCUUGUAUUGCUUUCACCUUUGCAGGAUCAACCUCAAUACCUCUUUCUCUGACAAUGAAGCCUAAUAACUUGCCAGAACGGACUCCAAAUGUACACUUGUUGGGAUUCAGACGAAGCUUAUACUUCUUCAGACGCUGAAAAAGCUUCAACAGGUGCUCUACAUGUUCAACUUCUGUUCUUGACUUUGCAAUCAUAUCAUCGACGUACACCUCGAUCUCCUUCUGUAUCAUAUCAUGAAACAAGGUAGUCAUAGCUCGUUGAUACGUGGCUCCGGCGUUCUUCAAACCGAAGGGCAUCAAUCGAUAACAAAAUGUUCCCCAAGGUGUGAUGAAUGUUGUCUUCUCCAUAUCCUCGGGUGCCAUCUUAAUCUGAUUAUAUCCGGAAAAUCCGUCCAUAAAUGAGAAGAUAUUGAAUUUUGCUGUAUUAUCUACCAACAUAUCAAUAUGUGGUAGAGGAAAAUCAUCUUUCGGACUAGCUUUAUUCAAGUCUCUAUAGUCCACACACAUCCGGACUUUUCCAUCUUUCUUAGGCACGGGCACAAUAUUGGCCACCCAUUGAGGAUAUGUAGAAGUCACCAGAAACCCCGCAUCAAUUUGCUUCUGAACUUCCUCUUUGAUCUUCACUGCCAUAUCAGGAUGAGUUCUUCUGAGCUUCUGCUUCACAGGCACGCACUCAGGUUUCAAAGGUAGGAAAUGUUGCACAAUAUCCAUAUCUAGACCAGGCAUGUCUUCAUAUGACCAGGCAAAGACAUCGACGUAUUCUCGUAGCAAUUCAAAACCCCUUCUUAACAGAUCCUUCCAAGAGUGCCCCAAUCUUCACUUCACGCACACAAUCCUCAGACCCCAAGUUGACUGUCUCCAGAUUCUCGAGAUGCGGCUGAAUGAUCUUUUCUUCAUGCUCAAGUAAAAGGGUAAUCUCGUCAGGAAUCUCUUCAACAACCUUCUUUCUCAUUUCCACUAGGGCCAACAGAAGUAGGAGUUUUCAGUACAGAGGAGGGUUUAACAACAAGUGCCGGAUUCAGAGAAUUCACCGCAUUCCCAAUCGGGCGUUCAACAAAAUUAGCAUUAGCCUGAGGUUUUGGUGGUGCUGAAAACACGCGACCGCUACGGGUUAAACCGCUUACGUUAGAAAUGUUCACCACAAAUGAAGAAGGCAAAGGCACCUUUUUCCCAUCUUCUACAGCAACAGCGUUGUAACGAAAGGGAAUUGCCUUUUCGGAAGAGUAUGGCACAGGACCGGAAGGCUUAAUGAUCAAGGAAGGAGAAACCUUCUGCUUGCUACCAUCGUAUCUAAUGAUAACAGGUUUGGGCAUCCGGAACACCGGGAAUAUUACAUUGACCUCAGGCUCAUCUUCGUCAACAUUUUUGUUUUGAAGGAUCUCAAUAACUCCUUCAUCCAGCAUUUCCUUAAGAUCUUUACGCACCUGGCGACAACCCAAUCGGUUAACAGGGAAGACUCGGCAUCUAUCAUGAUCGUGCUCAUAGUGACUGUACUCACACAGCAAACGGUGAAACUCAACCAGAGACUGUCGAAUAUGACUAACAUUUUGACCUUGUAUUUGCUAGGGCAGCCCUGGACCAUGUUAACAAAUUUCCCAUGCUCGGGCAAUGGGUUCUUCUUCAUGUUAGGACCUACGUCUUCAAAACACAGAAUGCCACAUCUUACAAGGUCUUGAACCUUGGUCUUCAAAGGAUAGCAAUUCUCCACUUUGUGGCCGGGAGCACCAGAAUGGUAGACACAAUGCAAUUCAGGCUUAUACCACCACUGGGGAUUAGCAGGUAUAGCCGGUGGGUCUCUCGGAGUAAUCAACUUCCUCUCUAUCAAAGAGGGAUAUAAUUCUGCGUACGUCAUCGGAAUAGGGUCAAAAGUGACCUUUUUCCUCUCGUAACUUGUGCUGGUUUGAUUACUGUUUCGAGGCUAGUAGGCCUGCUGUUGCGGUCGGUGUUGUUGUUGCUGAUAUUGCUGAGGUGGUUGCUGAUUACUACUAUGUGGGUGGUACUGUUGAUUGUCUCUGAAAACAGGUGCUAUAUGAGCCACCUGGUGCUGGUUACAGGCGGGACGCACAGUCUUCCUCCUCACAGAGGGUCUUCUUGGUUUCACAUGGGAGGUCACAGCAUGUGCCUCUCCAUCUUUCUUCUUUGCAAACGCCCCAUAACGUUUGGCAGAAGAGCCUUCCUCUUUGGUCAGACGUCCUUCUCUAACCCCUUCUUCUAAACGCAUCCCCAUAUUCACCAUCUCGGUGAAGUCAAAAGGAGCGCUAGCAAUCAUCCACUCAUAAUAGAAUGAACUCAUGGUUUUCAAAAAGAUCUUGGUCAUUUCCUUCUCUUCUAGCGGAGGCACGAUCUGUGCUGUCACUUCUCGCCAUCUCUGGGUAUACUCUUUGAAUGUUUCCUUGUCCUUCUGGGACAUGGCCCUCAAAUGAUCCCUAUCGGGAUCCAUAUCCACGUUAUAUUUGUAUUGCUUGACGAAGGCCUCGCCAAGGUCGUUGAAGGAUCGGAUGUUUGCACUGUCUAACCCCAUGUACCAUCUCAGGGCAGCAUCGGACAGACUGUCCUGAAAGUAGUGGAUGAGCAACUGGUCGUUAUCAGUCUGAGUAGACAUCUUCCUGGCAUACAUGACCAGGUGGCUAAGAGGACAAGUGUUUCCUUUGUACUUUUCAAAGUCAGGGACCUUGAAUUUCACAGGAAUCUUCACGUUGGGAACCAAACACAGUUCGGCAGCAGACUUGCCGAAGAGAUCCUUUCCUCUAAGAGUUUUCAAUUCCUUGCGAAGCUCAAGAAAUUGAUCAUUCAUGGCGUCCAUCUUCUCGUAGACAUCUGGGCCCUCGGACGGCUCAGAAUGAUAGAUGGUGUCGUCUACCCUAGGCAUGGUAUGCAAGACAGGAGGAGGAACAGCAAGGACCGGGCUAGAUGCCUGCAUAGAAGCAAAAGUUGGAGCAGGACCCUCGGGCAUAAAGUUAGGAGGCAUUCCCCAUGGAAACCCGGUUGGCAUGGCUGUAGGAGCAAAGUGUGCGCUGGCUGCAGGCACAGUUGAGGAGACAAUCUCUGAGAUGACUGUCCUCUGGGGGGGAGUUGAAGGCGUUGGAGAAGACUGGCUCUGGGCAGCCAAAAACGAUUCCAUCAAGGCACUCAGUCUGGCCACUUCCUCCUUAAGUUCACGGUUCUCUUGCUCUAGUUGAUCCAUCAGUCUUGAAGUGUUGGCUCUAGUGUAGUACCGGUGAGUCAGCUUGUCUUCAAAAUAAAUGAAGAAUACAGAGUUCGACCAUAGGACAAGAGAACGGAAACCAAAACCUGCUUAUGCAUAUGAUGCAUGCAAUGCUUGUGCACAUGAUUUGUUUUUAUUUCAAAGGAUUUCUAGGGUUUUAUUUGCAAAUUUUUGGAAAUAUUGAACAUUUAUCACAUAUGGAAAUAUCUCAUCAAAUAAUAUCAGGGAAAAGAAGUACAACAUUGUCAAUCACGUACAAGAGGAAACGAAAAUAAUCAUACUAUGGAUCCCUAGAAACAAUCAUCUAAUGCUCGGGACACAGGAAGAUAAGAUGCACGAAGCCUCUUCACUUCCUCCUCAUAAGCUGUUGUCGCAUUACGCGAAAAACCGGCGGGAAAAAGAAACACAGAGCCGCCACCGUGCGUUAUUUAUCCCAAAGGAGGGAAAGGAAACACUCGAAGUAAACCUGGAAAGGAAAUGGUCUCGCGACUAGAGAUGGAUAGGAUCGGGAGUCGGUUAUGCGAAGGGAAGGUAUUAGCACCCCUACGCAUCCGUCGUACUCGACGGGAUCCACGCUCAGAAAGGAUAGAAAGAAGGUUGCUAAAUAACUGCUCAAACACUACACACACGCUGGGAUCAAACAUAGAUGAAAGACUGAAGAAGAGGACUCGGCAGGAUAUCGCAUCCUAGGCCUACGUAGUCUGUCAGACACAGACAUCAGAGUCGACGUAGUUCGGGGGAGAAAGCGGAACGUGUUCGCUAGGAUAUCGCAUCAUAUGCAUACAUAUCUUCUCUAACCAGAGAAAGAAUCAGAGCACUCGUAGCUCGGCUAACGCACGCCAAACAAAGACACUAAACGGAGACACUGAGACGUCAAACGAGACACACAACUGGAAACGGAAUGCCAAUCAACGGGCUUACAUCCAACUCCAGACACACAAAGCAAAACAGGAAACCGACUGCCAAUCGCUGGACUUAUGUUAGACUCCAGACACACACACAGGAAACCGAAUGCCAAUCGCUGGACUUACAUCAGACUCCUACCAGAAAGGGAGAAUAGACAGACACGAAAAGAAAAGAAAGCGGGCCCCCCGGAGAGAUCAGCUCAUCUCCUGCCUACGUACCUCAUCUGGUAUGAGGAUCAGGGCGAUGUAGUUCCCCUUAACAAGGAAAGAACUUCUAACCUAACCAGAGACAAGGGAGAUAACAGACUACUAGGAAGACUACGACUCGAGCCUAGAAGUUGUCAUGCAUACGAUCCCUAUGUUGAGGUCUCUAUCCUAACUUGCACAGGAAGCAAGCUAUCCUAAACGGCACAUAAGCAAUCACAAGCACAAGUAUCACACACUAUAUGCAAACAAUUGGCUCACACAGGGCUAGGCUUUAGUCCAGGGGGUCAAAUCAACCUCAGACAAACAAGCCAACUGGAAUGGGGUGUUUUUUAGGCUCUUAACCCUAACAUGAGAGUUAGGGUGAAGCAGAUGAAAUGGUAUGAGGUAUGCCUCAUAGUUUAUCCCUGACCUGGGAGAGCUUCCAAUCAAAUGAAGUGUGGGAGUUCAGAAUGCAGGAACUCUUCUCCAAAAUGACACAACAGAUUUGGGUUUUUAUUCAAUUGCAUCAACACAUGGUGUGAGCAAGUGCAUGACAACAAUGAAAAUGAGCAGGGAUGGAUGCACACUCCUUGUACUGCCAAUUGCCUCUUAGAGGACUUAACCUGCUUGGCACAAAUUAAAAACCAAACAUUGCCUCUUAAGAGGGCUUCAGACAGGUUCCUGCCAAAGUAACAUGACAGUUUCAGACUACAUGAAGAUUAGGGUUAUACCUAAGUGGUAAUGGCCAAACCACAAGCAAAGCAAAGCAAAGUCAAAUAAACCUAAAAGCAACUUAGGUACCUGUGGAAACAACUAAACAAAUCAGUACAACUCAGUCAAACAGACAACAGUCAAUAACAAACAGGCAAUCACUGUACACAAAUAAGCAUGAGGCAAACUCAAAUGAGUUUAUCUCAACCUACAAAACAGCAAAUGUUAGCAUACAAAAGCAAAUAUCAACAUUUAAAUGAGAAGCAACAAAUUAACCAUGGAAUUUAGAUGUUGAACCUGAAAUUCAAAGCUCACAUGAAGUACAAACCACUAGGUCAAAGCCUAGGGUCAAAGAUGAAGAAAAAAUUCAAAACAGAGCUGAAAUUCAAGCACAAUGCAACUUCAAACACAUAUUAACAUGUCCAAAAAAGGAUCACAACAAAAUCAUCAAGCAAGUCCAUGUAAUAAGCCAAGAGAAAGUCAAAAGGCAAUUUUAAAGCUCAUGAUGGACAUCAUGAAUGAAAUUCAAAUCAAAACAAAAUGAUUCAAAUAAUUAUGGAAAAAAUUCAUGAGGCAUCAAACACGUCUAACACAGGAUCAACAUACAAAAAAUCAGAAAGGCAUCAAAGAUCAAUUGGCAUGGAGUUAAAUUGGUACAAGUUGAACAACCAAAGUGUGACACAAAUUCCAACACAUGCAGAACACAAUGCAUAAAAUAGAAAUGGUAAAGUGGAAAGUACAAAACCAAAGCCUAAAACAUCCAUCAAUGUGUCUAGAAUCAUCAUGUAAAAUUUCAUGGCAUUUGGAUCAAUAUCAAGCAUUUCACAAUAGAAAGAACAAGGCAAUGUCACAUAUGUACAUAUGUUCACAUAAUCAGUCACAAUUCAAAUUCUAGAAGUGAUAAAAUCAUGAACCAACUACCAAAAAAUAAUAGACAUCUCAAGGGUCAUGUAGCAAAAAAUCUGGAAUUAAUUGGAUGAUUUUUCAAUUUGAUAUGACUUUUUGAAGUUGACAAAAAAUGAUGAAAUAAAAUUUGACAUGUGUACAUGAUAUUUGGAGGGAAAGAAGAAAUGGAAAAGAAAUUUGAAAAUAUGCAGCAUGCAGGAAUCGAAGCGUGUGGGCGCCUGAACCAGACAAAACCCUAGCACUGGUAUGCGUAUGGUACGCGUAAUGUCAAAAUUAUAGCAGGUCGUACGCGUAUGAUACGUGUACGUUGCGUGGAGGUUUCCACCGUCUUCUUCGCGAAGAUGGUGGCGCUACAAUGCAUGUGUUCAGAAUUUUUUUCCAGAAUUUCGAAAUGCAUACAUCAACAGAAAGCUCUUCCAAUGUAGGUUACAGAUCAAUCAAUAUCUAAGCCUAACAAGCCAUGGAUUAAGAGAUACGAGCAAAACAUUUUGAUAUGUCAAACUUUAAUCAAGCAAAUCAUUCAUUUCUCAUGCCAUUUCACAGCGAAUUUUAUAUCAGAUUAAUCACAUUGAAACCCUACCGUAAAUAUGUUAAUGGAUGUAAGAAUGUGAGAUUCGAUAACUGAACGCUUGUGAAGCAGUUCUAUAAAACGCACGUCCAUAGCUUCAAAUGAUCAAAUCAACUCCUGAGAUGAUAACUUGAAUUUAUUGUGUGAGAUUGAAGAUUGAAAGAACUAGAUCUUGAUUAUUUCGCACUGUCGAUCUUGCAUGAGUUGCUGUUUGUGAGUAUGCACAAAUUCUGCUCGAAUUUAAUGAUCCAAUGCUUGAUUCUUCAUCCACUACACUCAAUAAACCAGAAUAUGGAAGAAAAAUGCUAUGCUAUGUGGAGAAUUUUCAAGUUUUGAUUGAGCGAAAAUUUUGGAGGGAAAAAGUUUUAGAUCUAGAAAUGAUGAAAAAAUGAUUAACCUCUUUAAAUUCUGUUAGAUUAGAGUAUUUAUAUGCUUCCUUAAUCACCUUGCUAAUCCAUAAUUAGUUUGGUUAAUGAAAAUAAGGUGUUUUUGCAAAAAAUAAAAAUUGCAUGGUGCAUGUAGUAAACCCACGUGAACAGUACCACUUCCUUCAUCAAAGUCACUUAAAAUCAUCUUUUAACUACAAUGGCAAUGGUAGAAAGUCCAUACAAUGCACCAUUUUUGAAUUUUGCAAUUUCCCUCCAAAAAAGGCAUGGAUAUGCAAGUGAUAAUAUGAUGACAAUUUCAUGCAAUGUGAUGAGGUAUUUGGAAAAUUCAUGACAUGAGAAACAUUUUGCAAAAAGAACCACCAAAUUUGGAGUUUUGGUUCAAAAGAUAUGGUCAUUUGAAGUUUCAAGAGACAAUUUCAUGCAAUGUGAUGAGGUAUUUGGAAAAUUCAUGACAUGAGAAACAUUUUGCAAAAAGAACCACCAAAUUUGGAGUUUUGGUUCAAAAGAUAUGGUCAUUUGAAGUUUCAAGCACACUUUGCCAUGAUUUGAUCAUAACUCCUAACCAUUCAGCAUAAAUUCAUGAUCUUGGAAUUUUUGGAAAUGGGAGAGAAAGGUCUUCAACUUUCAUGUUGGAUAAAAAUUCAUUUGAAGCUUCUUUGAUGUUGGAAAGUUGAGUUGAAGUUGGUCCAAAAACUUGCCAUUUUUGGAAACUUUCAAAUUACAGGUCGCUUUCCAUUUUUGGAAACUUUUGAUCUGACUUCAAAAUAUUCAAGGUAGAUGUUUGACAUGAUGAAUAAACCUCUUUUGGACAUGAAUGAAGUGUCUCAAACCAUUUCUCCAUCUCCUAGCCCUUAGUUGACUUGCAGUUGACUUUUAUGGGCCUCAGAUGACUUGGACAUAUACUGAUGACUUUUAAGCCUCUAGCUUUUGGUCAAGUUGCUUCAAAAUGAUCCUUAAUUCACACAAACCCUCUAGAACAAUCAUAGGGCCUUCAUCUCAUGGAAAUGCUUGGUCUCUUGCACAGUUGACUUCUCCUGAUGCCAGUCUUGACUGAUGAAAUGCAAGGUACUAUGCAAUGUUAAUGCAAUGUUAAUGCAAUGUCAAUGACCUAAAAAAUGAAAUGAAUGUACAAAUGGGGGGGUGCAAGUUUGAGGUGCUACAGCUUCCUCCAUAUCCGCCUUCUCUUUGGCGAGUCGAUCGUACUUCCUCUUCCAAAACCUGGAAGACUAAGGAAGUACAGAAGUCCAUGCAUCAUUAGGAUCAUCAAUAACCUGAUGCUCAAGGAACUCAAUCAAGGCAUCCUUCUCCUUAAUCUGCUGAAGCAACUCUUCCCUUUCACGGAUCCAAGCACGUGAUAGGUCUUCGUCUCUUAACUCCUUUACUCCUUGAUUAGGGAGGGUUGAAUGCCCAGCCAUAAUCAUAGGUGUAGGUCUCGGAUACUCGUAAGGCAUGAGAUACUCAGAAGCUCUCCUCCUUACCCAAGCAGUAUAAGGCUCCAAAGCGAUGCAAUUCUUAGGACCCAACUCCUUCCUAUCAGAAGCUCUCCUCCUUACCCAAGCAGUAUAAGGCUCCAAAGCGAUGCAAUUCUUAGGACCCAACUCCUUCCUUCCUUUCUUAUGAAUCUUGCGCCAAGCGCGGAUCAUCCUAGCUUUCAAGCCUUAGGGAUCUUUACCCUCCUGAAAGAACACACCCUCUAACAAAAUGUUAUUAGGUUUAUCCUUUAGGGGGAACCCAAGCUGACGACGGGCUAAAACAGGGUUGUAGUUAAUCCCACCACAUGUACCAAGAAGAGGCACAUUGAAGAAUUCACCACAAGAGUCGAUAAUCUGCACACCAUUAUACACACGGUUGUACCAAGAGAUGUCAUCAUUAGUGAGAGACAAAAGUCUCGUGGACCACCGUAGACAUCCCUUGUUCUCCUUGAAAGAGACCGUCUGAGGUAAGUGAGAAAUAAACCACUUAUACAACAGAGGCAAACAACACACAAUGGCGCCACCACCCUUUGCAUUCCUCAUAUGCAAAGAGAAAUAGGCAUCACCCAACAUAGUAGGAACAGGAUUAAGAGUAGAAAAGAUCCUAAUAGCGUUCACAUCCACAAACUUGUCGAUGUUGGGGAACAAUACCAAUCCAUAGAUGAGAAGUACAAAUAUGGCUUCAAAGGCAUCAUCACUCAUAGCCUUCCCAUAGAUAGUAGCUUGAGCAAUGAGGAACUCAGAAGGGAGACCUUGAAUUCCACCUUUGGUAGUCAUAUGAGCACCAACCAGAGAUUCAUCUAUGUGUAACAUAUCAGCUAUCUCUUGAGAAGUAGGAACAUUCUCCAAGCCAAUGAACGACAACUGAUCCAGGAUAGGUAUACCCACAAGAUAAGCAUACUCCUCAAGGGUAGGCAAAACCUGAAAGUACGGAAACGUGAAGCAACGGUACAAGGGAUCAUAAAACUGCACCAAUACACUCAUCAACCCUUCAACCACCUGAGUAGUCAGAAGAGGAAGAAGCUUCCCGAAACGAGCUUUGAAACCCAAGGGAUCUAGUACAUAGGAUGUCAAAUUCCUUAACUCUUUCAGAUCUGGUUACCUGAAGCUGUACUUCUUUGUCUUCCUUCUUUGUCUGAAAAUUUUGCAAAUAAACCCCUUAAGUCCCUUGAAAAUUUUCUUCAUUAUUGAUGAUAUGGAUGCAAAUGGAUGCAUGAAUGCAACAAUCACACUCAAGGAUCAAGCAAAGCACACCAAACGAAGGUCAUGGGAUGGAUCAUAUUAUCCUUAAUAUCAAUCAUCCAUUUUGGUGGAUUAUGGUUUUACACCUUAUCAACACCCAAGUUCCAUUGAUAUUAAGGGUAUAUGAACGAAUCAACCAUGAAUCAAGGGUUUGUUGCAAGUCACGAGCAUGGAGUCUUGGUUAAGAACCACCCAAAGGGAAUGUACUAGGGUUUAAACCUGCCAAACAUGUUCUACAAGAGGUUCCCAUAGUCAUCAUCCCAUCUUUCGGAUAUUAUCGGAGAAACGACUACUCGUAUUCCAAAAAUAUUCUCAAGAGAGACUCUUAUGAGUGUAGUAUCACGUAACAAUCGUAUCAAAUCUUACACUUGAACGACUUUCGCACUACAUCCUAAGAAUAGGCCAAGAUGGGCUUGGUAAACUAAGGUCCUUGGCUUCUAAGGUCUAUAUUGGAAAGAGUAAUGUCUAACCACAACUUACUUGUGUGACAUUAUUGAUCCCAACAUGACCUCCACCAAGUGAAUGGACUUGCAAGUCAACUUGCUAAGGAAUAACUCCACACAAGUCAACAAGACUACGCCAUUCUCCUAUCCUAAGUGCACUCGAGUCCGGGUAUAGAACUCAUCUCACAAAGAUCACCAAGCAUACAAGGAAUUAAUAUCAAGCAAAUCAAUCAUUACAUACAAUACAGUAAUCCCAAAUUGCACAAAAAUAUGUCACAAAACAAUACAAUACAGCAAGCAUGAAAAGUUGGCAAAACCCACUAGGCCAAGAUCCCCAGCAGAGUCGCCACUUUUCUGUAGCGGGGUAUUCGUUACCAUUAGAGAUAUUGACUAAAUCCAAGGUAAGUCAUACAAGUCGAGUCGCCACCGCACUUCUAUUUAUCUAAAGGAAUGGUUAGAAAGCGAACAAAAAACCUAAAAGUUUUAACAAAAACUAGUAAAAGAAACAGAGAUCUGGGUAAGGGGGUUGGUUAGGUAAUGGGAAGGUGUUAGGCACCCAAAACAUCUUAGGUACUCCUAGGGAGCCCUUUUCACACUUGUGAAGGUUGUUGUCUUGUGAAAAUUUUGUUUGUGCAAACAUGAUUGAAGAGAUGAGAAGAGAAUAUACAAGUUUAUUUACAUUUUGUUUGGAUGGAUAAACCCAUUGCCUACGUACCAUCUUAAAAAAGAUUAGGAUCAAAACCUCGUAGUUCGGGGUAAAAAUCUCAAAAUGAGUUGGUGAAUUGAUUGGUCCAAAAGCCUUAAGGUCUUUUGUUAUCCAAGGGAGAAAACUCAACCUAAAACCACAAAUCCACCAUGUGAGGAUAGCUUCAACAUGCUAGUGAGGGGUUAACCCUAUAAUAAGCAUGGAAGACUCAUUGUCCAUCACUAAGGAUAUAGGUGAGUAUUACAUCUACCACAAGGAUAACUCAAACCUAAUAGCUAAAGGUUAUGAAAAAUUUGAUUAAGGAAGUGGCCAUUGGAACCACAAAAAGACAUUUGAAUGGGUUAUAUUUACCAAUUAGAAGUAUAUACAAAAUGGUCAAAGUUGACUUAAAAGUUCAAUUCAAAAUAAGUGUUAUGAAAAGAAAGUUUGAAAAUCAAAAGCAUAAGGCUUAGGUUUCUAAUGUUUGAAAAGAAGUGUUAAAUGUUUGCACAAAAGUUUUGGCUUGGGUUAGAGUGGAGGGAAGAAGAAGAAUGGCUAAAGUCCUAAUCAUACAAGAGAUAAGGGAUAAGAAACAAGACCACAAAUGGAGUUCCUCUCUUGAGAUCAUAUUGAUGAUCCAAGUAGCUCCCAUCCUUUGGAAUAAGAAAUCACACAAAGCUUAAGCAAUCAAACAAGUCUCUUAAGAGAUCCUCAAUGUAUCUUGUAUCUUCCACUUGGAUGAACAUGGCAAUGGUCCUCCAAUUAAGCUUACGUAGAAUUCCCUAGCACAAAAGCACACACAUCAAAAGUUCCAUGAAGUAAAUCAAGAAUGGACAAGAGUGAGUUUAGAGGUUUGGUCCUUCUAAUCCAUCUUCAACAUUAAGGUCCUUUUACUCCAAUUUGCAUAGGGAAAGUCCUAGAAACUAAGUCCAUUUGUCCAUUUCUUUGCAUUUGGUCCACAACAAUCAAAACAAAACACAAGCACAAUAAUAUAUACACAAUUAUGUGCUCAAGUGAGCAAAAGGCAAAUGGCAUUAACAUAAACAUGUGCUCAAGUGAGCAAAGAGAAAAGCAAAUGGAUAAUAUGUGCAAGAAUAGUAAAUUGCAUAAAAGUAAAGAGCAAAAGUAAAUGUUAAUGGUUAAUAGUUAGUGUUAGUAGUUAGUGUGCCAUAAGGCAAAUUUAGCGCUAUGUUAAGCAAUCGUAAUUGGACUUAUGUAGAAGUCACAACUAUCUGAGGCCGGUCAAUAAUAAUGUAGGCAACAAACACAAGUUAGGAGUCUUGAUUAGUGAACCAAGUCCCAACAACUUGCCAUGCCAAAAGGAGAAGAGAAUUGAUCUUGUAUUGGUUUAAGCCUUAUGCAUGAUUUAUAAGACAACCUAUCCUUAAUGCAAAGCCAUUCACUUGAUCAAUUGAUCAAGAUGAAUUAGAUUUGAAUCAAGGAAGGUUAAAUCCUUCUAAUCAAUGCUAACUUAUCAACCUUCAACUCAUUGAUCAAAAAGAAAAAGAAGAAGAAGGAGAAGAAAAAGGAGAUGGAUAAGAGAAAUGGAAAUGACAAAAUUAAAGUGCAUUGAAUGAAACCUCAUGUACCAAUCCUCAUAUGUUGACCAAUAACGUUUAAAGUCAAGGUCAAACUAUCAAAAACAGAAGUGAGAUGAGGAUUGGAAGUCAAGAAAUGAAUAAACUAUUUUUGGCAUUUUUUAAUAUUAAAAAUAAACUUGAAUUAAAAUAAAUGGAAAGGUCAAACUUCAAAAUCACUUCAAAUCAACCUUGAAAGGUCCUAGUGAUUUAUCCUAAGUCCAACAACGUCAAACAAGGUUUGACAAAAAAAAUUAGCAUUUUUAAAAGUCAGAAACUAAUUUUAAUCAAUUAAAAGAAGAAUAAAAACAACCUAAUUGAAUUAAAAUCUCAAAUAAAUCUCAAAUCAAUUCAAAAAUUGAUGAGAAUAUUUUUCAUAGAUCCAUCAUCAUUCAAAUAGUUUAGGAAAAUAUUUUUGCAUUUUUUUGAAUAUCAAAAACUAUUUAAAAUGAAUUAAAAAUAACCAGAAAAGAGAAAAUUCACAAAAAAUAUCAAAUGACAAAAUAAAAAAUAUUAAAAAAAAGAAAUACAAACUAGAAUUUAUUUGGGAAAUAAUGCAAUUGGUCCCAUAUUUUUUGGAUUAAAAAUGAAGAAGAUAUUAAUUUUUGAAAUAAAAUGGAAUUAACGAAAAUAAAAGGAAAAUAAAACAGAAAAUAGAAAUUGGAAAAAAGCGUGACCGUCUGAUCUAAGCUCAUUAAUUAUGCUGGCAAAUCAUGAGGCCAGGAAGCGCGCGCCUAUGGUGAUCCACGGUCAAUGCGUUCACAUGUGAAACAAAUAAAAGUAAUAACAAGCAACGCUCCUGAUUCAAUCUGGAAAACAGAUCACACGGCCAGAAUUUAAACUGGGGACGAUGAAGCCACCGGAGCCACCGUCUUCUCCGGUGAGCUUUCAGAUUCCGGCCAAAAUGCAGAACUUCGAAAGGCAACCAAAACGUUCGAUCUAUACAUCAAUAGAAAGCUAAGAUGAUGUACAUCAUCUCUAUACCAUCCAUUUUCCUUCUAGAUCUCUAUGAUUUGAGAAAUCAGAAGUUGAAAAAUCCGGUGUUCAUCAUGAACUCAAUGAAUUCCAAAAAUUAAAAGCAUAAACAUGAUGCCUCUAUUGAGAGGACUUCAGCCAACACAAAACCACUGCCAAUAGGUCAAAGGAUUAGGAGAAUCGAAGGAAUUACCAGUUGGAGUUAAAGUUUGAGUUCUGGUGAUUUGAGCUUGAAACCUUGCUUGCUUUAUCAAAACAGAAGUUCAAUGAAGUGUAUAAUGAAGGUCUAGAAGCAUUAGAUCUAUGAAUACAACCAGAUGUAGUUGAAUUCGAGAUCUGAAAAUUUUAAGAGAAAUGAAACUUGCUUCUUUAGUGAUGGUUGGGGAAUGAAUUCUGUAGCAAUUCAGGUUGAAAUUGUGUGUGUAAAUGGAGGGAAUGAAGCAUAUAUUUAUAGCUGAAGCUGAUGCCAAAUGAGAAGAAACUCGUGUGCAUGAAGCUUUGGGUACUCCAUGCAUGGGCCUGUACAGGCGCAUGUGAGGCCCAAAAGCCGAUGGAUUUGCAAGCUGAUAGCACAAUGAAUUGAUUUGGACGUGUAAUUUGCCUUGCAAUAGCUUGCAUUUCAAGAUUCAAUGUGAAUUCUCCAUUUGUACCUAAAUAAUCAUCUCUUCGAAAGUGCCACUUAGAAAAUCCAAGCAUAAGCAUAUGGGUAAUGGUUGGAAAGGUCUUUGUAUGAGGAACAAAUGUUAUGUUGGUGAAAAAUCCAUUUGGAAUGUGGAAAUUUGUGAAAUUUGAAUUCAAAGUGUGAUGUGCUAAACAUGUCAAGGCAAGGUUUCUAAAAUUGGCCAACUUUCAAGCCCUUCUGUUUUAGUGAUGCAUGUAAGAACAAAAAUUGUUCUACAACAGAUUCCAUGAUUUUGAUGAUAACAAAGGAUGAAACCAAAAAUGGCACCCUAACGAAAAGUUUCUAAGUGUGCAGGGUUCUAAAGAAAGAAGAAACAAAUCUGAUGAUGUCAUCAGAUGCAAAACAAGAUCAGAUGCAAAAACUCAAGUAUCAGAAGCAUCUAAAGAGGAAUCUCAUUCAAGAAGCUCUGACUCUGGACAAAACUACAAAGUAUCAGAAGCAUCUGAACAUGAAGUAAAGUCUAGAAGCUCUGACUCUGAACAAAUGCCUUCUGUAAAUUCUGAAGUUAUCAGCGCCAUCUGAACUUUCAAGAGAUAACAUCAGAAGCCAGAUUCUCAGAUACACGAAGACUCUAAUCAGAAUUGUUAAUCAUGAUGAAGUAACGUUUAAGCCAAGUUAAAGUUCUGCAAAUGGAUUUCCUCAAUUAGAAAGAGACGUUAAUCUCCACUUCCAAGAGAGAAGAUACUACUUGUGGUAAGUAGUCACUUCUAAGAGAAAAAGUCUCCUGCAGAAGCUAUUAAUGGAAUGGCGUAACUACAUCUCAAUAUCCAACAGAUUCAACGCUACUUCAACUCUACUUCAACUCCUAUAAAUAGAGAAGAAAUCUCAUUCAGUAAACAAGAAAUCAACUAGCCAAAACUAUACUGAAAUUAUAUCACGCUCAAGAAAAACAUCUUUGUUCUUCAAAGAUUUUCACUAAGCUUUUGCUUAUCAAGUGAAAAAUUUGUUCUUAAGUUUGUAAUAUUUGCUUUCUUAGAAGCACUCUAGAUUACACAUCUUGUAUCUAAUUUUUAUUUGAUUUCCUCAAGUGACUCUUUGUAGUCUGUAGACUUGAGAGGACUAAGAGAUUUUCUUCUCUCUUAGGGGUUGUUUGUAAUCUUUCAAGAUUAGUGGAUUAAGUCCUUGUUGAAGGCGAAAUCACCUUGGCCGGGUGGACUGGAGUAGCUUUGUGUUAUAAGCGAACCAGUAUAAAAUCAUUGUGUGAUUUCAUUUUGCAAAAGCGCUUAUUUUUCAAACAAUUCAAACCCCCCCUUUCUUGUUUUUCUCACCUUCAAUUGGUAUCAGAGCUCCGGCUCUGUUAUUGAUUUUCAAAUCAAACACUUAACCGUGUAGAGAGAUCCAGUGCGAGAAAAACAAAUGGCCCACUCAAAUGAGAAAGAUUCUUACAAUGCCAAGCCUCCUGUUUUUGAUGGAGAAAAGUUUGAUUACUGGAAAGAUAGAAUCGAAAGUUUCUUUCUGGGUUAUGAUGCUGACCUCUGGGACAUUGUCACAGAUGGAUACAAACCUCCAACCUUAAAUGGAGCUGAAGUUCCCAGAAGCAAAAUGUCAGAAGAUCAGAAACGUGAGUUCAAAAAUCAUCACAAGGCCAGAACAAUACUUCUAAAUGCUAUAUCAUACAACGAAUACGAAAAGAUCACCAACAGAGAGACGGCUAAAGAUAUACUUGACUCUCUGAAGAUGACCCAUGAAGGAAACUCCCAAGUCAAGGAGACGAAGGCUCUGGCGUUGAUCCAGAAAUAUGAAGCCUUCAAGAUGGAAGAUGACGAAGCUAUAGAAGCUAUGUUUUCCAGAUUCCAAACUCUUAUUGCAGGUCUUAAAGUGCUAGACAAAGGAUACACGACUGCAGAUCAUGUUAAGAAGAUUGUCAGAAGUCUGCCAAAGAAAUGGAGACCAAUGGUUACUGCUCUGAAGUUAUCAAAGGAUCUGAACAGUAUCAGCCUUGAAGAACUUGUUAGUUCUCUCAGAAGCCAUGAGAUAGAACUAGAGGAGGAUGAGCCUCAGAAAAGGAACAAGUCAGUGGCGCUGAAGUCCAGACCUGAAAGACGGAAGUCAGACAGAACCAAAGCUCUCCAGGCAGAAACUGCAGAUACUGACGACUCUGAACCUGAAGACUCUGAUGAUGAAGAAGAACUGUCCUUACUAACCAGAAGAGUUAAGCAACUCUGGAAAAGAAGGAACAACAACAACUUCAGAAGAUCAAGACCCAGAGGGGAUAGAUCAGAGUCAACUUCAAAAGGUAAACCUAAUAAAGAUAUUACCUGUUUUGAAUGUAAAGAAACAGGUCAUUAUAGAAAUGAAUGCCCCAAGCUGAAGAAAGAUAACUCUAAGAAAGAAAGCUUCAAGAAAAAUGCCUUCAGAACAAAGAAGGGAUUAAUGGCCACCUGGGACGAUAGUGAAUCAGGAUCAUCAGAAUCUGACUCUGAUGAACAAGCCAACGUAGCAUUUAUGGCUACCACAUCCAGCAGCUCAGAUGAAGAAUCUGAAGAGGUAUUUUCUGAACUUUCUAGAUCUGACUUAGAAUCAUGUUUAUCAGAAACUCUUACCUCUCUUCAGAAAUUAAAACAAAAAGUUAAAAGCAUUAAAGGUCUUCUUAAAGCAAAAUCUGAAGAAUGUAGUGAACUUGAGACAACAAUUCUAGCACAUGAAGAUACAAUCAAAUCUUUAACGUUAGAAAGAGAUGGAGCUAAAACAAAAAGCUUAAAAUUAGAAGAAGUGUUGUCUCAAGCACCACAAACUUCAAAUGAAAUUAUUUAUAAAUAUGAAGAAGCCUUUCAGAAGUUUCUGAAGAGUGGAAUAGAUAGGAGUAUUAUGGCAUCCAUGAUUUAUGGAGUAAGUCAGAAUAAUAAAAGGGGAAUUGGGUAUGAUUCUGAUUCUGAUAAAACUUCUACCAGUAACCAAAUUAAAUCACCUUUUUCAUACCACUAUACACACACACAAGAACACAAAUUUAAAAAUGCUAGAAGACCCAAAGUUGUAAGAAACUCUGGGAAAACUAAUCUGAAAGGACCCAAGAGAUUCUGGGUACCGAAAGAUAAGAUUAUCUAUGUUGCAGAUAUCCUAUGCAGCAAAGUUCAGACACCAGUCAUGGUACCUGGACUCUGGAUGCUCGCGACAUAUGACGGGAAGAAAGUCUAUGUUCCAAAGCCUGGAACUUAAAGACGCUGGCUUUGUAGGCUUCGGAGGAGAUCAGAAAGGAAGGAUCAGAGGCUCCGGAACUAUUGGUAAUGGUACUCUUCCCUCUAUAUCUGAUGUUCUUUAUGUAGAAGGAUUAAUGCAUAACUUGUUAUCCAUAAGUCAAUUAAGUGAUAACGGUUAUGAUGUAAUCUUUAAUCAAAAAACGUGUAAAGCCAUUAAUCAGAACGAUGGCUCUGUCCUUUUCACAGGCAAGAGGAAAAACAACAUUUAUAAAAUAAAUCUUUCUGAUUUAAAAGAUCAAAAUGUUAAAUGUUUAAUGUCAGUUCACGAAGAGCAAUGGGUAUGGCAUAGACGCUUAGGCCACAUUAGCAUGAGGAAACUUUCUCAGCUAACUAAACUUGAGUUAGUCAGAGGCUUACCUAAACUGAAGUUUUCUUCAGAUGCUCUGUGUGAAGCUUGUCAGAAAGGAAAGUUUUCAAAAACAUCUUUUAAAAAGAAAAAUGUUGUUUCUACCUCCAAGCCUCUGGAGCUUCUUCACAUUGACUUAUUUGGUCCUGUGAAAACAGCAUCAGUCAAUGGAAAGAAGUAUGGACUAGUAAUCGUUGAUGAUUACAGCCGCUGGACAUGGGUAAAAUUCCUAAAGCACAAGAGUGAGUCUCACUCUGUAUUCACCAGUUUCUGUUCUAAAGUGCAAAAAGAAUUUGACUCUAAAAUUGUUAGAGUCAGAAGUGAUCAUGGUGGAGAAUUUGAAAAUAAAGAUUUUGAAGAAUUAUUUGAUUCUAAUGGAAUAUCCCAUGAUUUCUCCUGCCCUAGAACUCCACAACAAAAUGGAGUUGUAGAGAGGAAGAAUAGGACACUCCAAGAAAUGGCCAGAACCAUGAUCAAUGAAACAAAUGUAGCAAAGCACUUUUGGGCAGAAGCUGUAAAUACAGCGUGUUACAUUCAGAAUAGAAUCUCUAUUAGACCUAUUCUGGAUAAGACUCCCUAUGAACUGUGUAAGGGAAGAAAACCCAACAUUUCAUAUUUUCAUCCUUUUGGAUGCAUUUGCUUUAUAUUAAAUACUAAAGAACAUCUGAACAAGUUUGAUUCCAAAGCACAGAAAGGUAUUAUGUUAGGAUACUCAGAACGCUCUAAAGGCUACAGAGUAUACAACACAGAAACCAAAAUUGUGGAGGAAUCAAUUCAUGUUAGAUUUGAUGAUAAGCUUGACCCUGAAAAGUCAAAGCUAGUUGAAAAGUUUGCAGAUUUAGAGAUCACUCUGGUAGAAUCUGAGAAAACUCCAGAAGCAACUGUCACUCCAGACUCUGAAGAAAUUAAAUCUCCAGAAAUUCCAAGGAAAGUCAAGAGUCGUAGCAACGUAUCUGAAGAUUUGAUUUUGGGAAACAAAGAUGAACCUGUUAGAACCAGAUCUACCUUCAGAACUUCUGAAGAUAUUCCUCUGGGACUAGUGUCUCUGAUUGAGCCUACGUCCUGUGAUGAAGCUCUUCAAGAUAACGAUUGGGUGGCAGCUAUGCAAGAAGAGUUAGAUCAAUUCUCCAAGAAUGAUGUCUGGGAUCUCGUUCCUAAACCCAGAGGCACUCAUGUCAUUGGAACCAGAUGGGUUUUCAGAAACAAACUGAACGAGAAAGGAGAAGUUGUCAGAAACAAAGCACGACUGGUAGCUCAAGGUUAUAGUCAACAAGAAGGUAUUGAUUAUAAUGAAACUUUUGCUCCAGUCGCAAGGUUAGAAUCUAUUCGUCUUCUUGUAUCUUUUGCUAUUAAUCAUUCUAUCAAAUUAUACCAAAUGGAUGUCAAGAGUGCAUUUCUUAAUGGUUAUAUUUCAGAAGAAGUGUAUGUUAAUCAACCUCCAGGUUUUGAAAACUCAAAUUUUCCAGAACAUGUUUUCAAACUUAAGAAAUCCUUAUAUGGACUUAAACAAGCUCCCAGAGCUUGGUAUGAACGCUUAAGUAAUUUUCUUCUGGAACAAAAUUUUAUCAGAGGGAAAGUUGAUUCUACACUCUUCUGUAAAAAUCAUAAAAAUGAUCUCAUGAUAUGCCAAAUUUAUGUUGAUGACAUUAUUUUUGGUUCUGCUAAUAUCUCUGUUUGCCAAGAAUUUUCUAAGUUAAUGCAGGCAGAAUUUGAAAUGAGUCUAAUGCAAGAACUAAAGUUCUUUCUGGGAAUUCAAAUCAAUCAAACUCCAGAAGUCACGUACAUUCAUCAAAGCAAGUACAUUAAAGACGUUCUGAAGAAGUUUGAUAUGUCUGAAUGCAAUUCUGCAAAGACUCCCAUGCACCCAACUUGCAUUCUGGAGAAGGAAGAGGUAAGCAACAAGGUUUGUCAGAAGCUCUAUCGAGGUAUGAUAGGCUCUCUUCUCUAUCUGACUGCUACUCGUCCUGAUAUUCUCUUUAGCGUCUGUCUUUGUGCCAGAUUCCAAUCAGAUCCUAGAGAAUCUCAUUUAACAGCUGUUAAGAGAAUUCUUAAGUAUCUGAAAGGAACUCCUAACCUGGGCCUGAUGUAUGAGAAAACAUCAGAGUAUAGGCUUUCUGGUUAUUGUGAUGCAGAUUAUGCAGGAGAUAGAAUAGAACGAAAAAGCACAUCUGGAAAUUGCCAGCUUCUGGGAAACAAUCUAAUCUCCUGGGCUAGCAAAAGACAGUCAACUAUCGCUCUAUCAACUGCAGAAGCAGAAUAUAUCUCAGCAUCACUGUGCACAACUCAGAUGCUCUGGAUGAAACAUCAGCUAGAAGAUCUUCAAAUCUUUGAGAGUAACAUUCCUAUCCUUUGUGAUAAUACUGCUGCUAUUUGUUUGAGUAAGAAUCCCAUUUUACAUUCCAGAGCCAAACACAUAGAAAUUAAACAUCAUUUUAUUAGAGACUAUGUUCAGAAAGGAAUAGUAACGCUGAAGUUCAUUGAUACAGAACAUCAAUGGGCAGAUAUCUUUACUAAGCCUCUAGCUGAAGAUAGAUUUCUUUUCAUCUUAGAAAAUCUGAACAUUAAAAAUUGUCCUGAAUGAAGUAUGGCUCUGAAAAAUAUAAAAUAAGAUUCUGAUAAAAACAAAUAUGAUUCUGCCUCUGACUCUGAUACUUCUACAUUGUUAAGAAGAUAUCUGAGUUAGAAAUCUUCAGAACCAAUCUCUUGGUAUUCCUGAAGAUCAGAUACAUCAACACGUGGAACUCUGAAGCGUCAAACUUUAGAACUUCUAGACAGCUGUCAAGAAAUUCAAAAGGCAGACGUUUGAGUUUUCCUCGAGCAGUGUGCAAACUGUGGGAUUAGACAUUCAUUUAUGAGCUGUAAUCAUUUUUCCCCCCAAGCGUGCCAUUUUGAGUUUUGUGUCUAACGCUGGUAUGUGUGUCGUUUUGCAUGCGUUUUUACUUAGGUAUAUAAACACUUUUCUCACAUUUCACACACUUAUCACUCUCACUCACUCUUAAACCCUAAACCCUCUCUCGAAGUUUUCUCUGCAACCUUCUCAGUUCUUCAUCUUCUUCAUCAAUCUUCGUCAUGAAUCCUCAAGAGCAAGAAGUUUUUAACUUCUCCCAACAAAUGGAAGCCGCUUCUAAUCCCCAAACCUCAAACACUCAAACACCCAUGGUUGUAGACGUUACCACAACCCCAGUCUACAAAGAACCUCACAUUUUGGAACGCGAACAACACAUAAACCUUUCAACUCCCUUUGAAGGUUUGGAUGUUCUGUGUGAAUCGCUGGUGGAUUUUGAGAAUUUGAGAAGAAAUGGCGUUGAUUUAACUGAAGAUCUUCGCAAGCAAGGUUGGGAAAACUACUUCAACAGAUUGUAUGGUCCAAUCUAUCCUCUUCUGGUGAAAGAGUUCUGGAGAUGUGCAGAUGCUGAUGAUGAGUUCAUUGUUUCUUUUGUUCUGGGAGUGAAGAUCAUCAUCACAGAAGCAUCUAUUGCCUCUUUGCUGAACAUGGAGAGAACUGGAGGUAAAAGGAUUUACAACAUUCCUCCAAGGUCCAAGCGCAUCACAGAAGUCAUUAACCCUACAAUCUUCAAAGCAAAUGUUGAAGGAAACCCCUCUAAGAACAAGGAGCUUCAUCAGAACCUCCGAGUUUGGCUGAAGAUUAUUCUGGGAACAAUCCAUCAUCGUCCAGCCUCCAACUCUUCAGAUUAUAUAAAUGCUGAUCAGAAAUGCAUCCUCUACUGUAUUCAGAAGGGUAUCCCUAUCAACCUCCCUGUUCUCCUCUUCAGAUAUCUGAGGGAUUCAGUCAGAGAAACAAGGAAUAAUAUGAAGCCCAGAUCCUACAUUCCUCUGGGAAGAUUGCUCUCUGACAUCUUCAUUGAGCAUGGGCUGGUAGAUGCUCUGGAGAAGACCAGAUGUAUGGAUGAUCUGGCAAUUGACGUUGGAAAGCCUCUGAAUGCCAAAAAUCUGAGGAGUAUGGGAAUCAUCAAAGACAUCAGAGUCAAGCCCACUAUGGAUGUGACCUGGGAAGCUCUGAAGGAUCAGAGGAAGAUGCCUCAUGGCCUUGAAAGGUUCUUCAAGAAUGAACCCAGAGAUGCCAUUGCUAUCUACCUUCAGGAUCGUCUGGAUGAAGGCAUUGAUAUUUCUGAUUUCCGCCUUGAAGACUGUCUGGACUCUGUAGAAGAUCUGGUCAGAUACAAAAGAGGUCUUUCUGAGAAGAAGAUAGCUGAGGAAGCAAGGAAGGCAAAGAAAGCCAGACUUGGAGAAACCUCUGGCACCAAAGCUUCAGCACCUCUGAAUGUCUCUUCUGGUAAGUCUAUUCCUCCUGUCUCUUCUGAAUCUAUAAUGGCUUCCUCUAACCCUCUCUCCUCUCAACCAAUAUAUACCACCUCUGAAAUACCACCCUCAAUCACCAGAACCUCUCAACCUCCACCUGUUCUAAAAAUUGCUCGUAAUUUCACAACAACCUCUGACCCUAAUCAACUAUAUCACCACAGCUCUUCCUCAUCCUCUGAAUAUGAAUCACCCCCUUACCUUUCCCCUUCUUCUGACCAAGAGUUCUCUGAACAAGAGUCCUCUGACCAAGAACACUCUGACCCAAACUCCCCAACAAUAGCUGAAAUUUAUGCUAAAAAUUUCGCUCCACAACCCUCAAGACAAUCUGAAGUAACCUCUCCCCUCCAAACUUCACUUCCACCACAACAAACAACAACCUUACCCUCUGAAACUCAACCAUCUGAUCCCUUCACCUCUAAUAUCACUCCACCAUUUAUUCCCGCUGUACCUGGACCAGACUCUGACCCUUUAGACCUAAAUCCACUAUAUGCUUCAUCCCCUAGUCUUCAACCAGACGCAGAUUCUGAACUUCAAGCAGAAUCUGAACCUCAACAAACUGAACCUCAACCUCUAAAUCUCAGCCCUCAAAACUCUCCACCUCAUUCACCUGAACCUGAACCUGAACUUACCAUACCUACCCUUGAGGAGGCCAUUAUACAGGUUGCAGAAGCUUCAGUCCAGAAGAUCAAGUCUCUGGCUAAAAACUCUGAAGUUAGUGAUGAUCCUAAAUCUGUUAGGACACACUGGAACAGAGUCAUUAGUUGGAUGACCUCUGAGUCUUAUAGGCUGAAGAGUAUCUCUGAACAAGUCAGAAAUGGCUACAUCAGAGACUCUGAGGAAAGACUCCAAGAGAGACUGGCUAGAGAAGCUGAGGCCAGAAGGUUAGAGGAAGAGAGACUGGCUAGAGAAGCUGAGGCCAAGAGAUUAGAAGAAGAAAGAUUGGCUAGGGAAGCUGAAGAAGAAGCUAAGAGGUUGGAAGAAGAACGCCUGGCAAAGGAAGCAGAACUUCUAAGGAUUCAGGAAGCUGAAGCCAAGGCUAAGGCAGAUGCAGAAGCCCAAGCUGCUGCUGAAGCUGAAGCUCAGCAGGCUCUGAUUCAGGGGGAGUCUUCCUCUGCGAUCCCUCUGAUUCUUAACACUCUGAAGGAGAUCAAGCAAGAUCAGCAAGAGAUCAAGAAAGAUCAGAAUGAGCUUCGUGCCAGGAUGGACAAGCAAGAUGCUCUGAAUGAAAACAUCCAGAACAUGUUUGCCAUGUUGCUUCAGAGACUUCCUCAACCUCCAAACCCUUAGGCACUUAGGAUUUAUUUUGUUUGCUUGCCUAGUGUUUUUGCUUCUGUCUUCUUUUUAGCUCUGAUAUUCGUCUUUGAAUCUGAUGUUUUGACUGUUGUUUGCCUUUGUGCUUUUUAAUGAAGUGUUUUUCUCUUUAUUAUUCUUUUUAUUUUUUAUGCCUUUUUGAUUAUGCCAAAAAGGGGGAGAAAUUAUUAAAUAGCUCUGAUGAAAAUUAUGUCUAAAACCUUAAGCAUUCUGCAACAAUUAUAGAAAUAGUUCUGAUAUAAAUAGCUCUGAUUAAAUAAUAGCUCUGAUUAAAUAACUCUAACAUUAAAUUUAAGAAAUUGCAGAAAGUUUUCAGAAAUCUUAUUGCUUGGAAAGCUCUGGUAAGAACUUCUGAACUCCCUAGUACUAACUCAGGGGGAGCUUUUGUCUAUCUGAUCUAAUAUUUUUCAUGUUUCAUCUGAUAAUUUUAUUUGUUUUGUCAUCAUCAAAAAGGGGGAGAUUGUAAGAACAAAAAUUGUUCUACAACAGAUUCCAUGAUUUUGAUGAUAACAAAGGAUGAAACCAAAAAUGGCACCCUAACGAAAAGUUUCUAAGUGUGCAGGGUUCUAAAGAAAGAAGAAAUAAAUCUGAUGAUGUCAUCAGAUGCAAAACAAGAUCAGAUGCAAAAUCUCAAGUAUCAGAAGCAUCUAAAGAGGAAUCUCGUUUCAAGAAGCUCUGACUCUGGACAAAACUACAAAGUAUCAGAAGCAUCUGAACAUGAAGUAAAGUCUAGAAGCUCUGACUCUGAACAAAUGCCUUCUGUAAAUUCUGAAGUUAUCAGCGCCAUCUGAACUUUCAAGAGAUAACAUCAGAAGCCAGUUUCUCCAGAUACACAAAGACUCUAAUCAGAAUUGUUAAUCAUGAUGAAGUAACGUUUAAGCCAAGUUAAAGUUCUGCAAAUGGAUUUCCUCAAUUAGAAAGAGACGUUAAUCUCCACUUCCAAGAGAGAAGAUACUAAUUGUGGUAAGUAGUCACUUCUAAGAGAAAAAGUCUACUGCAGAAGCUAUUAAUGGAAUGGCGUAACUACAUCUCAAUAUCCAACAGAUUCAACGCUACUUCAACUCUACUUCAACUCCUAUAAAUAGAGAAGAAAUCUCAUUCAGUAAACAAGAAGAAAUCACUAGCCAAAACUAUACUGAAAUCAUAUCACGCUCAAGAAAAACAUCUUUGUUCUUCAAAGAUUUUCACUAAGCUUUUGCUUAUCAAGUGAAAAAUUUGUUCUUAAGUUUGUAAUAUUUGCUUUCUUAGAAGCACUCUAGAUUACACAUCUUGUAUCUAAUUUUUAUUUGAUUUCCUCAAGUGACUCUUUGUAGUCUGUAGACUUGAGAGGACUAAGAGAUUUUCUUCUCUCUUAGGGGUUGUUUGUAAUCUUUCAAGAUUAGUGGAUUAAGUCCUUGUUGAAGGCGAAAUCACCUUGGCCGGGUGGACUGGAGUAGCUUUGUGUUAUAAGCGAACCAGUAUAAAAUCAUUGUGUGAUUUCAUUUUGCAAAAGCGCUUAUUUUUCAAACAAUUCAAACCCCCCCUUUCUUGUUUUUCUCACCUUCAAUGCAGGCUUCAAAUGAAAACACCUCCAACAUUAAAGUUGUAGAUCUUUUCAAUACAAUCAAAAUGGACUUAUAUUUUGCAUCAUUUGGAUUUUUGAUGAAGAAGUUAUGGGCACUUGAAGUUGGACUUUUUUUACUUUUAAUGCAUUUGACCCAAAAGGACCUAUAAUGUCUUGCAUUAUCACAUGUAUUUCCUUUGAGAUUUUGAAAUUUUGUUCAACAUAAAAUUUGAAGUAGACAUCUUAAGCUUUCUAAUUAAUUUGAUCCCACCUCAAAAGCAUAAACAAUGAACGAGUUAUGUCCUUGGGAAGUUGACCCAAAAUUAGGGUUUCAGUCAAAAUGACCUAUAAUGUAUUGGAAUGGCAGAUGGUUUUCCAAGCUUCAAAUCAAACUUUUAUGGACAUGAAAGUUUUUCAUAUUGUCCUUAAGAACAUUUUUUCUUUUGGAACCAUCUCCAUUUGACCAACACACAAAAUGUUAGGUCUCAGUGUAUUUCAAAAUAAUUAGAUGAUUUGACUGAUCAACUUUUCAAGUCCACAACUCAUAUCUUGAUGAAUUGAUGAUUGAGGACACUCAAAUAAGUUCAAAUAUGCAUGAAAUGAUGAUUUAAAGAACUUCCCUUGAUUAUAUUUGACCAUGGGCUGAGGUUGCUUCAUGAGCAAGGCAUUGUGAUGCACAGAGGAAUUAGGGUUUCUCUGAAGAACAAGAUCUCAAACCCUUUGACUUAAUUUGAUCAAAAUGAUGCAUUGAGAUGCUAGGGAGGCAUAUUUUAUGUGUAGGUGUUUAAUUGGCUUCAUUAUAUGGUAAAACACUAGCUGGAUUCUAAUGUCUUGACUGAUGUCAUGACAUGGUGUGUAUGUGUGACUGCACUGUAAGUUAGAAUAUCUAACUGUACUCUGAUGUCUUGACUGAUGUCAUGACACACUUGAGUAGUUACUGCAGGAUUAGCUAAUACAGGAUUUAUUGAAUGUCAAACUGGAUGUUGUGAUAUUCAUCCCUGUCAACAGAUACUAAGGAAUAAAACAGCAGGUGUUCUGUUAGAACUUAGUAUUUAUUUCCAGUCUGGUUAUCAAGGAAAUACCAGACCUGGCAUAAGGCCUACUGACUGAAUGUCAAACUGGAUGCUAUGACAUUCAUCAUUGACAGCAUAUACUGAACAAUAGACAGAGUGGUGUUCUGCUAUACUUCAGCAUGUAACUUAGUUUGUUCUUCAAGAGAAUAACAGAACUAACUUAAGGCCAAAUGUGUAAAUGUUAAGUUGGACACUUUGACAUUUAUUAAUGUAAGCUGUUACUGUAGUAUGGUCAUUUUGAUCAUGUACAGGUCAGCAAAAUUGUACAGUCUGUUUUCUGGAAAAACAGACUCAGCAUAUGGACCUUGAUGUCAAGCUGAAUGUCGUGACAUUCAUGCCUGACAGCAUAUGCUAUAUUGUAGGUUGUUCAGUUUUCUGUUUCAGCUUUUUCUCAGGCUAUUCUUCAGGGAUUCAACAGCUGAGAGAAAAUCCAGGAAAUCAACAACCAAGCUACAUUUAAUGAACCUAACAAAUAGCCUAUUUGUUAGUAACCUAAAUGUUGAAUUUAUGGGAACUCGCGUGACCUUAAAUUCAGGAGAAUACAGGUGCAAAAGCCCAGGAUACUGCAAUAUAAAAGGAAGGCGUUCCUUCAUUCAGUUUCAGGGAUUUUGAGGCGUGAAGAUUUUGUGUGUCCAUCAUACUUCACUGCUGUAUUUUUGUGAGUCUUGUAUUAGACGUAUCUUGUAAGCCAAGCCAUUAUCAAGUAGAUGAUAGCUUUGGCAUAGGGUGUUCAUUGAGUUGUAAGUGUUGUGUCACUCAAAGCUUUUAAGCGUGAGUGCUGUGUAUCUUGAUUAAAGCUGUGAAGCACAAUCAAGAGUUGUUUGAAGUGUGACUUCAACUUGUCUUUAAUAUUGUUUAAAGAUAGUAAUCACUGAGGUGAUUGAGGGGGAGUGAGUAGGAACUCUGAUCUUAGGUUAAGAUUGAAAUUGCAUUGGGUAGGGAUUAAGUGAUAAGUUGUAAACGGGUGAGUUUAGCUUUGAAUUGAUACUACUAAUAGUGGAUUUCCUCCCUGGCUUGGUAGCCCCCAGAUGUAGGUCAUGUUGGACUGAACUGGGUGAACAAUUACUUGUGUUAUUUACUGCACUUACUGUUAAGUUCUGCAUAAUCCCUGUCUGUGCAGAAUUGGAUGUCAUAACAACCAGUGUGACAUCCAAAGUCUGAUAACUAGAAUUUCAAUUGGCAUCAGAGCAGGCACCCUGCCUGUGAAUUUCUGGGUGAGAUCUAGGGAAGUUACUUUCUAGUACCAUGGACAAGGAUUUAGGACACUCAAAUAGACCACCCAUGUUGGAUGGCUCUAAUUAUGAUGACUGGAAGCCUCGUAUGAUAGCCUUCUUAAGGUCUCUAGAUAGCAAAGUCUGGAGAGCUGUCAACAAAGGAUGGGAACAUCCAAUGAGGACAGGUGAAGAUGGAGUCAGUGUGCAGAUUCCUGAAGAAGAGUGGGACAAGGAGCAAGAGGCAUUAGCUCUUGGAAAUUCCAAGGCCUUGAAUGCAUUGUUCAAUGGAAUCAGUAAGAACAUCUUCAGGCUGGUGCACCACUGUGAACUAGCUAAGGAAGUUUGGGAUACCCUCAAGGUAACUCAUGAAGGUUCUUCCAAGGUGAAGAUGUCCAAACUUCAGAUGCUGACCACCAAGUUUGAAAAUCUGAGGAUGAAAGAGGAUGAGACUAUUCAUGACUUUCACAUGAAUAUUCUUGAAAUUGCAAACACCUCUGGUCGACUAGGUGAAAAAAUGACUGAAGAGAAACUUGUAAGAAAGAUUCUCAGGUCCUUGCCUAAUAGAUUUACUAUGAAGGUCACAACCAUAGAAGAGGCUCAAGACAUCUGCAAGAUGAAGGUAGAUGAGCUCAUUGGUUCUCUCCAAACCUUUGAAAUGGGCUUAGGUGAGGAUACUGACAGGAAGAACAAGCGCAUAGCCUUUGUUUCAAAUACUGAAGAGAAAUCAGAAGAAGGAAACUGUGGAGGAAAUGAAAGCAUCUCAGAAGCCAUAGCCAUGCUUGGAAGACAGCUCACCAAGUUCAUAAAGAAGGUUGAUCAAUAGGGUAGACCCAAUGUCAAGAACAUCCCGUCUGACAUAAGGAAAAGAUCAACUCCUGAAGAAAAGUUCAACCAAGGCAAGGGAAUCCAGUGUCAUGGAUGUGAAGGAUAUGGUCAUAUUAAAGUAGAAUGCCCUACCCUCCUCAAGAUGCAAAGGAAAGGGCUGAUUGCCACCUGGUCAGAAGAAGACACUGAGAGUGAAUCUGAAGGAGAGUCUGCUAAACAUGUCACAGCUCUGACCAGUGUUUGUGCCUCAGAGGAUAACUCAAGCGGAGAUGAGCUUACCUUGGAUGAACUUGCUGCCUCAUAUAAAGAACUAUGUGUUAAAAGUGCAGAAGUAUGCAUCCAAGGAGAGAAGCAGAAGAAACUCAUCAAAGAGCUGGAAGCUGAGAAACAGAAGCAGCUGAAAAUCAUAGAGGGUCUAAAUUGUGAGAUUUCCUUGCUGACUUCUAAGCUAGACCAAAUGACCAAAUCCAUCAAGAUGUUGAAUAAAGGAACUGACACCUUGGAAGAGAUUCUAAAGGUAGGACAGAUGUCAGGAUCCAUGUCUGGCUUAGGCUUCGCUAAGAAUUCUUCGUCUGAACUCAAAAAGUCUAAGGCUGGAGUUCAGAAAUUCAAGCGGAAGUCACAUCCGAUGUCUCAACAUCAGGGAACCAGAAUGAGUAAACAUCAGAAGAAGAAAUUUCAAAGAUGGAGAUGUCAUUACUGUGGGAGAUUCGGUCACAUAAAACCCUUCUGCUACAGGCUGCAUGGUUAUCCAAACCAGACUUCUCAGGGAAGACCUAAGAAGAAGGCGUCCAAGCACAACGCCCCCAUUAAGAAACAAAAAUGGGCUGCGAAUCAGACACCUCAUGUCAAACCAAAGCAGCAGACAUCUGAGAUUAAUCUCUCCCAUGAGAAUCAACAAUGUGUUGCUAAACUAGCUCACACUUCUCCCAGGGCACCUACCAGACACGACUGGUACUUUGAUAGUGGCUGCUCAAGGCAUAUGACUGGGAUGAGCAACCUAUUGGGGAAUCCACAACCCUCUACCAUCAGAUGUGUGACGUUUGGUGAUGGAGCUAAAGGAGAAGUACAGGGUGUGGGUGAACUGGAUUAUCCUGAAGCUCCAAUACUGAGCAAUGUACUGUUGGUAAAAGGACUGACUGCAAAUCUCAUAAGCAUAAGUCAGCUAUGUGACCAAGGAUUCAAGGUGGAAUUCACUAAGGGAGGAUGUGUGGUGUUGAAUGGGUGCAAUCAGGAAGUGAUGAGAGGAGACAGAUCCAAAGAUAACUGCUAUCUAUGGAAAUCUAAAGACUCAGGCCACUUUCCCAAGUGCUCCUUAGCCAAGGGAGAUCAGGAAGGGAAGCUGGGACAUGGAAGACUUGAUCAACUUCAUGUAAAAGGAAUAAAGAAGAGCAUUUCCAAGGGAACUAUGAGAGGAGUCCCAUAUCUGUCUUUAGAUAAAAAGACAGACUGUGGAAAAUGUCUGAUUGAAGGUUAUGAGCCAGUGGCACCUAUUGGCCAUGAUAUGACAGCAAGGGAGAAACAGAUGGGUGUACUAUUGUCAUCUGCAGAAACCAAAUACCUAGCCUCUGGUAGCAGGUGGUCAACCCCAGUAUGGAGGAACCUGAUGCAGACUGAGUACAAUGUCACCCAGAAUGUCAUGACAUUGUACGUUAAUCAGUUUGAAAAUAGUAAGGGCAAAGAGGGAAUGUAUACGUCUGAUAAGUUAUAGCAACUAAUGAAGUUAGUUAGCUACUGUUUAGUAAGUCAAAUUAUUAAACAACAAAUAGUGUGCUCUGAGUGGUCAAAAACUAAUAGACCUUACUCUUGCAACAAGCGUUUCACAUUCCGUCGCUUCAACUCUCAUUCGUGCAAACCUUCUUCCAAAGAAACGGUUCAACUCACCUCUGAGAUAUUCAGCAUGGCUCACCAAUCCGAUUCCACCUCCUACACUACUGUGUCCGAUUCCCCCAGCACGGAGUCCUGCAACCCUAACCGGGAGGAGAUUGGUGUUGACGCUGCAACAUCUUCUCAUGCAAGAAGACCGAAAGAAACGGUCUCCAGAGUCUCCUCAGCUAUCGCUCUGGACAAACCAUCCAAGGAAGGAUCGAGGUAUGUGCAUAAUGCCAUUGCUUCUAUUGUCACUAAGAUUCUGUCUGGUGAUCAGAAUGUUCCUGGGGUUUCCGUUCCCUUGAACACUAUCAUACCCGAUGAGGUUGCAUGUCGAGAAACCGCAGUCGUGGUAAGAGAGAAUGUGUCUGGAAUACCUGAAGAGGGCCCUAAGAACGAUAAACCUGUAAACAAGGUGAGAGGUGAGAAGGUCAGUGUCACUCAAGGUGUUGAUGACAACCCUAGAGCUGAAACAGUUAACCUGGAAGAGUUCUCUGAUAAUGAACUUUUGGCUUCAGUUAUCCCUAGCAUAGCCAAGAGGGUUAGGACUAGGAGGGAGAAAAAGACUGUGGUGCAGAGGUCCCCAACCAAGGAGGUCGAUGAGACAACCUCUCCCAAGCAAGCAGUGACAGAGAGUGCACGCAAAAGAAAAGGGCAUGGACCUGCAAAAUCUUGGAGCAAAGAGGUGCCCAAGAAAAUGAAGACCAAGGCUGCUGUGGUGGAGUCUGACUCGGAUGUUCCUUGUGAUGUCACAACAUCCCUGUCCAAGAAGAAGCCAACCUCUAGCAAGUUGGCUGCUAGUGUUCCAGAGGUACCCAUUGACAAUGUGUCCUUCCACUUUGCCUCUAGUGUGAACAGGUGGAAGUAUGUCUACCACAAGAGACUGGCCUUGGAGAGGGAAUUGGCUCAGAAUGCCUUGGAGUGUAAGGAGAUUGUGGACCUCAUUAAAGAGGCAGGGCUAAUGAGAACUGUGAAUCAGCUCCCAAAGUGCUAUGAGACCUUGGUGAAGGAGUUCAUUGUUAAUCUGUCUGAGGAGUGUGCAGAUGGGAAGUCUAGAGAAUUUAGAAAAGUCUAUGUGCGUGGCAAGUGUGUGACUUUUUCCCCCUCAGUAAUUAAUCUGUAUUUGGGAAGAGCAGAUGAAGUGCACCCAGAGCUUGAAGUGACUGACAACAGAAUCUGUCAAGUCAUCACUGCAAAUCAAGUCCGGAAGUGGCCUCUUAAAGGGAAGCUGGUGGCCAGCCAACUCAGUGUGAAAUAUGCCAUGUUACACAAAGUUGGAGCUGCAAACUGGGUCCCUACGAAUCACAAGUCAACUGUGUCUGUGAUGUUAGGAAAGUUCAUCUAUGCAGUUGGUACCAAGGCAAAGGUGGACUAUGGUACCUACAUCUUUGAGCAGACCAUGAAACAUGCAGGAAGUUUCAGUGUGAACGGACCUAUAGCCUUUCCAUCUCUCAUUUGUGGCAUUGUGUUGAACCAAUUCCCAAACAUCUUGACAGACAAUGACUUUGUGCAAAGAAGAGAGAGUCCACUGGCCUUCAGUUACAAACUGUUCCUGGGUAAGCAUGUUCCUGACAUUGUCAUGACACCUGGAGAAACAUCCAAUGUUGGCAUCCAUCCAGAAAAAGUUGUUGUCAUUGCUGUGCUCAGGGAGACUUGCAAAGAGCUGGAGGCUAGGAAGCACGCGUUGGAAAAGCUGAUCUCUCAAUUGGAGGUGUCUGCUGAGGAUACUGAUGGAGCAGCUAGGCAAAGUUAUGAGGAUGAGGAGGAGACCAGGUCUGAUGAGGAGGCUGAUGAUGAGGCUGAGGAAUAAAUUUUUUUCUGUCAUUUGUGCGUAAUUCUGUCUAUUACUUAUGGAUCUGUAAUUUAAAGUGUUACUUUGGUAACAUUUUUGACAAAAAGGGGGAGUAACAGGUGAUACCCCAGACAACAGAUUGGUCUGUUAAAACAGACUUUCAUGACAGAUUCGAAGAUUCCCUCCCCUGUAGCUGAUGUGUGUUAAAGUUUUUAUUUAACUUCUGUACCUCUGUAUGAGUGCUGCAAUUAGAAGUUUUUAUUUAACUUCUGUAUGUGUGCUGUUAUGUCAAGUGUUACUUAACUUCCAUGUGUGUGAGCAUGCUGCCACUCUGAGUGUAUUAGCUAGGUCUAUUUCCUGCUAGAUGUGUGAUUCCGCUGCUAUGAACUUUGUUAUGGGGAUCAAAGUGUUUUAGCCAAAAAUUUGCCAAAGGGGGAGUUUGUAGGUGUUUAAUUGGCUGCAUUAUAUGGAAAAACACUAGCUGGAUUCUAAUGUCUUGACUGAUGUCAUGACAUGGUGUGUAUGUGUGACUGCACUGUAAGUUAGAAUAUCUAACUGUACUCUGAUGUCUUGACUGAUGUCAUGACACACUUGAGUAGUUACUGCAGGAUUAGCUAAUACAGGAUUUAUUGAAUGUCAAACUGGAUGUUGUGACAUUCAUCCCUGUCAGCAGAUACUAAGGAAUAGAACAGCUGGUGUUCUGUUAGAACUUAGUAUUUAUUUCCAGUCUGGUUAUCAAGGAAAUACCAGACCUGGCAUAAGGCCUACUGACUGAAUGUCAAACUGGAUGUUAUGACAUUCAUCAUUGACAGCAUAUACUGAACAAUAGACAGAGUGGUGUUCUGCUAUACUUCAGCAUGUUUCUUAGUCUGUUCUUCAAGAGGAUAACAGAACUGACUUAAGGCCAAAUGUGUAAAUGUCAAAUUGGAUACUUUGACAUUUAUUAAUGUAAGCUGUUACUGUAGUAUGGUCAUUUUGGUCAUAUACAGGUCAGCAAAAUUGUACAGUCUGUUUUCUGGAAAAACAGACUUAGCAUAUGAUCCUUGAUGUCAAGCUGAAUGUCGUGACAUUCAUUCCUGACAGCAUAUGCUAUAUUGUAGGUUGUUCAGUUUUCUGUUUCAGCUUUUUCUCAGGCUAUUCUUCAGGGAUUCAACAGCUGAGAGAAAAUCCAGGAAAUCAACAACCAAGCUACAUUUAAUGAACCUAACAAAUAGCCUAUUUGUUAGUAACCUAAAUGUUGAAUUUAUGGGAACUCGUGUGACCUUAAAUUCAGGAGAAUACAGGUGCAAAAGCCCAGGUACUGCAAUAUAAAAAGGAAGGCGUUCCUUCAUUCAGUUUCGGGGAUUUUGAGGCGUGAAGAUUUUGUGUGUCCAUCAUACUUCACUGCUGUAUUUUUGUGAGUCUUGUAUUAGACGUAUCUUGUAAGCCAAGCCAUUAUCAAGUAGAUGAUUGCUGUGGCAUAGGGUGUUCAUUGAGUUGUAAGUGUUGUGUCGCUCAAAGCUUUUAAGCGUGAGUGCUGUGUAUCUUGAUUAAAGCUGUGAAGCACAAUCAAGAGUUGUUUGAAGUGUGACUUCAAAUUGUCUUUAAUAUUGUUUAAAGAUAGUAAUCACUGAGGUGAUUGAGGGGGAGUGAGUAGGAACUCUGAUCUUAGAGUAAGAUUGAAAUUGCAUUGGGUAGGGAUUAAGUGAAGAGUUGUAAACGGGUGAGUUUAGCUUUGAAUUAAUACUACUGAUAGUGGAUUUCCUCCGUGGCUUGGUAGCCCCCAGAUGUAGGUCAUGUUGGACUGAACUGGGUAAACAAUUACUUGUGUUAUUUAUUGCACUUACUUUUAAGUUCUGGAUAAUUCUUGUCUGUGCAGAAUUGGAUGUCAAAACAACCCGUGUGACAUCUAAAGUCUGAUAACUAGAAUUUCAUUAUGGAUGAGAGCUUUGGGAACCAUUACCAUGCUUGCUUUGAUCUCCUCUUGGCCAUGUCAUUGUACCAAUGAUCUCCUAGAAGCUUUGGACUUUGUGAUUGCUCAAGCUACAAACAAAAGAUGUUAGUGACAUAUUUUUGUGCUUUUGGUUAGUAAAUGAAAUGGGAAAAGCAAUGAUAUACAAUUCAAGCAUGCUUGGUGAUCUCAAAACAAAAGAUGUUAGUGACAUAUUUUUGUGCUUUUGGUUAGUAAAUGAAAUGGGAAAAGCAAUGAUAUACAAUUCAAGCAUGCUUGGUGAUCUCAAACCACUCACAAAGAGUCCCACCCAAAGGCAAAGGAACCAAGAUGCUCAAUGAUCCUUGAGGCUAUGCAAAUGAAGUGUUAUGAUGCCAUGAGGGAUCUUAGGGAUAAAAUUGGGGUCUUACACAUGGGAGAAGGGUUUUCAAACACAAUGAACAUUACUUUGACUUAUGGAUAACUGUUAGAAUAUCCACAGCGACCCAAAUAUUACAGAUCCCUCCAGGGAUGAUGAGAUUGCCAGAAUCCUCUUCGUCCUCUUCCAGAAUGGCAGCAGCCUCUUCAUCCUGACCAGUGUGGAUGAAACCUCCACUCUUGAACAAACCUUGCUUGUUGAAGACCCCAGAAGAAUAGCCUAUGCCAGCCUGGGACUUGUUGUCUUCUAACUCAAUCAUUAGCCCCAAUCCAGCAGUUGCACCAUGCUCAAUGGCCAACUUCGCAUCUUUGUAGGAAGCAAAUGGAUGAGUUUUCUUCUCAACAGGCUCAGCAAUAGAUAAAGCUUGGAACGGAGUUCCAACUUCAUCCUCAGUAUCUAUGUAUGAGAAGGAAGAUAAAUGGCUAACCAGGAGAGCCCUUUCUCCCCCUACCACCACCAGCUUCCUGUUUUUUACAAAUUUCAGUUUCUGGUGUAGGGUGGAUGUCACGGCGCCUGCCUCGUGAAUCCAUGGUCUGCCUAAGAGACAGCUAUAUGAUGGGUGAAUGUCCAUAACCUGGAAGGUAAUCUGGAAAUCACUUGGUCCAAUUUUGACUGGGAGAUCAACCUCACCAAUCACAGUUUUGUGAGACCCAUCAAAAGCCUUCACAACUACCCCACUCUGCCUCAUGGGAGGCCCAUGAUAUGACAAUUUCGCGAGAGUGGUCUUCGGCAACACAUUUAAUGAUGACCCAGUGUCCACCAACACAUUGGACAUGCCGUCGUCUUUGCAACUCAUAGAUAUAUGUAAUGCCAAGUUGUGGUCUCUUCCCUCCUCGGGGAGAUCAGAGUCACAAAAACUCAAUUUGUUGCAAGCGGUGAUAUUUGCAACAAUGCUAUCAAAUUGUUCUAGCAUGACAUCGUGAUCUACGUACGCCACAUCCAACACCUUUUGCAGAGCCUCCCGGUAUGGUUCUGAGUUUAAUAGUAGUGAUAACACAGAUAUUUUAGAUGGCGUUUGUAGAAGCUGGUCUACAACAUUGUACUCGCUCCUUUUGAUGAGCCUUAGCAUCUCAUCAUAAUCUUCUUUCGUAUUGCCACUCGGGCCAACAAAAGAAGGGGUUUUCAACAUGGAGGCGGGCUUAGCAACAAGUUCCGGAUUCGGAGUGCUCACGGCAUUCCCAAUCGGGCGUUCAACAAAAUCAGCAUCAACACAUCCUCGAGCAUCAGCCUGGGGUUUCACCGGAGCUGAAAAUACACAACCGCUGCGGGUCAAACCAUUGACGUCAGCAAUGUUUACAACAGACGAAAAGGGAAAGGGCAACUCUUUCCCACUUUCCACUGCUACAGUAUUAUAGCGAUAAGGAACCGCCUUCUCGGAGGAGUACGGUACAGGUCCGGCUAGCUUGAUAGUCAGAGCUGGAGAAACCUUCUGCUUGCUACCAUCCUAUUUGAUUACAAUGGGCUCAGGUAUCCGGAAUACCGGAGAAAUUACGUUGACUUCGAGCUCAUCUUCGUCAACAUUUCUAUUUUGAAGGAUCUCGAUGACUCCCUCGUCCAACAUCUCUGCGCACCUGGCGACAUCCUCUCUGAUUGACAGAACAGACUCUACAUCUAUCGUGGUCGUGCUCAUAAUGGCUAUAGUCACACACCAAGCGAUGCAACUCAACCAGCGAUUGCCGGAUAUGGCUGACGUAUUUAACUUUGUAAUUCCCAGGAAAUCCCUGGACCAUAUUAACAGACUUCCCAUGCUCGGGCAAUGGGUUCUUCUUCACAGUCGGACCUACGUCCUCGAAAAAUAAAAUCCCGCUUCUCACAAGGUCUUGCACCUUGGUCUUCAAGGGAUAACAAUUCUCCACAUCGUGUCCGGGAGCACCGGAAUGAUACACACAAUGAAGCUCAGGCUUAUCGAAAAAUAAAAUCCCGCUUCUCACAAGGUCUUGCACCUUGGUCUUCAAGGGAUAACAAUUCUCCACAUCGUGUCCGGGAGCACCGGAAUGAUACACACAAUGAAGCUCAGGCUUGUACCACCACUAGGAGUUAGCAGGUACAGCGGGAGGGUCUCGUGGAGUGAUUAACUUUCUAUCGAUCAGAGAUGGAUAGAGUUCAGCAUAAGUCAUCGGAAUUGGAUCAAAGGUGACCCUCUUCAUCUCAUAGCUGGUGUUGGCAUUGUUGUUGUUAUUUCGAGGCUGGUAGGCCUGCUGUUGUGGACGUUGUUGUUGUUGCUGAUAUUGUUGAGUUUGCGGUUGUUGAUAAUGUUGAGCUUCCUUGAAAGCAGGUGCUAUAUGAGCCAGCUGAUGCUGAUUAUUGACUGGGCGAGCAAUCUUCCUCUUCACAGAGGGUCUU
rnacentral:lncRNA from 1 species